UAAACUAAGAACAAUAUAAUUCUGAAUAUAAGCAAGUAGAGCAAAUUCAUAAGCAAUAUAUUAAAGUAGAACAAAGUCAUAUUCAUAAUAUUGAAGAACAAAGAUAAUUAGAAAGCAAUUAGAAGCACAAUUAGAGAAUUACCAAGAAUCCUCUUGACAGAUCCGGAAACCAAUCGAAGAUUGACUCCUUCUAGUUCUAAUCCUAUGUAGCUAUGCUAAUCUAGAUAUCUAAUUGAUGUGGUGGCUCUAAUCUUGAUCAGAGGCUUCUUCUCCCUUGAUGGAACAAUGAAUUAGGGUUGAGAGGCUCUCUCCUCCAGGGGCCAGGGGGUCUGGUUUUAUAGUCCCUCCAAGUGAAUAUGGGCCCUUGGAUCAAACCGACAUAGAUUGUAUGGUUUAGAUUCAUCCUUUAGGUCGGUGGAGAUCUCCCGCAAAGCAGAGUCCUGAUUUGACUCAGGGGCAGGGCGGGCGCCCAGUAGGACAGGGCGGGCGCCCAGUAGGACAGGGCGGGCGCCCUGUCUCUGGCCCCGUUUCGCCUCCGCUUCGGUCUCGUGGCUUCUGGAGUCUUCUAGAUGUAAGAUAAUUGCGCAGCACGUUAAUAUCUUUACGUAAUCCCAACAUGUGGGCCUUUCUUCCAUAUUUCCUGAUAACCCCCUACAGAAAUAGACAAACACCAAAACUCGUGGAAUUCUGUCAGAUAAAACCCUAAGUCUGGAUCUUGAUUUCAUUUGGAUCCUUUUCUUUGUUUAUUUGAUAAUUAAAUUUGAUACUUAAGGACCGUCAACAAACUCCCCCAAGCUUACCUCUUGCUCGUCCCUGAGCAAGGAUAGACUCAACUAUGGAUCAUAAGUUGUUGCAAUAUUUAAAAAUUUGACGGUACACAUGCUUUUAAAUAAGAUCUUAUCUCUGAGUUAGAGUAAACUGUCAAGACUUAAAACUUACUUACUUUACCUACACCAUGGGACUUGUAACUGUCACUUCUGUCUUGAGUGGUUAAAAGAUAGAACAGUCUAGCCAAGUGCCAUGUCUCUUAUUCUUGAUCAGCUAUAGCUCUGGGGUUUUUGCAGAUUUUCAAAUAAAACUCAGAGAUUCCUUGUAUGAUUCUCUCAGGUCUCUCUUUUGUGGUAUUUUUGGAUCCUUACCAAGGCAGUGAUGGUAUAUGCCUUCUCUCAAGAUAUGUAGUAUUUGUGGUAUAAGGCAUAGUGACAUUGCCUUCUCUUUCACCCUACUCUAAUAAUGCUUUAAUAUCUGGAGCUCAUAGGUGGGAGAUAAAGUAUACAUACUUACAAGACAUUUAUUGCAUAGUCAAACCAUGGAUCCAAAGUAACAAGUCAAUAAGUUUAAUCAAGAUGUGCAUGUGUGGCGAAUGAAUGAUGUAUGGUGAUGAUGGUGAUGACAAUGGUGAAACAAUGGUGGUGGAAGUCUAAUUCUACUUUGCUCUUUGAGGGGAUACAUACCUUUCUUGCUUUUGAAAUUUUAUGAGGAGAAUGAGAUGCUCUUCUUUUUCUUUCUCUCAGGUGGGUAUCUUGCACCCCUAAUUCUACUGUCGGACACUUGUCCAUUUUUACCUCUCGUCUCACUUUUUCUUUUCUUUCGAGGUUCCGAGCACUUGCUCCUUUUUAUUUCCUCGUAUAUUUUUCUUUCUCUUUUUUUUUCAGAGCAUUCAUCUCUUGAGAUAAUAUAGCAAGUGGUAGUAACAAGAUAACUUGAGCAUUUAUUUCACAAGGGAAAACAGAAAUAUUUUUAGUUAUUCUCUCCUGGAUUAGAAGCAGAAUAUUUUUGGGUGAUUCUGGAGAUGGAAUGGGUGGAUAUAUGUGGAUGGUACUUCCGGAGUAGAAGUAGCAUAUAUGAGUGAACGUGCAAGUGAAAUCUUGAUUUAACCACAUGACAAGCUCCUAAGGGUCUACACAGCUUGACCACACUCAAUGCUCAUAAGCAGUAAAUAAUAAAUGUAUGGCUCAACGUCUAGCAAGCAUGUAUAUAUGGCUGUGGUAGGAAUUUAAACUCUCAUCAUACAGGAACUCAUCAUGCAAUAUUUUAAAGAUUUUCAAAGAUAAAAUUCUCCAGAAUUCUAGCAUCUCUAGGAACAGAUAAACAGCAGCUCAACCUUCCCAUAUCGUAUCCGUUAACAACUUAGACUUCAGAUCAAGUUUUCAUCCCACAAGUUUAGGUCUAGAGCAAGCUUUAAAUUAUAACAGUUAUGUCUAAACUUAAGAGAGAACUUAAAAUUUGCAAAUUAGGCAGAGCAACUAUUUAUCAUAUUCAUGCUUAAGUUUUAUUUAGAUACAGAUUAGCAUAGCCACUUUAUUUAUUUAUUAAACACACUAAGCAAAAGACAUAAAUAAGCAUAAACUCUUUAUUUGGUUUUCCAUAGUUAUGUAUAUUUAUAUUCUAAAAUAAUAUGAGUGUAAAGAUAGAUAGAUAGAAAUACUUAUCGAGAUAAAUGGGGGUGCUCUCCCCCAAGCUGAAUUUUGACGUAAUUUCUCUUGACGUAGCUAGCAGGUAGCAGAGGUGUAUUUGAAAGUCAGCAGCAUUCGGACAGCGAUUAGAAUGUCCUCCGUCUGCUAGUCUUCUUGAUUCUUAAAUUCUGUGGAGCUCAAAUAGACAACAUAGCUUGUGGAACAGAUUAAGUGUUAGCACAAAUAUCUAGCCUUUAUUAUCUUGAGACUCCUUAAUAAAUAUUACUCCCUGUUUUUAUAUUUUUAUUUUAUAAAGCAGACAAAUAUUUAUUUUAUUUUUAUGCCACCACAGUGAAUGUACUUAUGGGUUUUAUACCACUCGUAUACUCACAUGGGGCUUACUGUUUUUCACAUUUUUAUUUUCUUUUUAAGAUAGUAUGACAUGAUUAACUAAGUAAACUUUUUUAAAUAAUUGAAAGGGAAAAGAUAACUACCAAGUUUACCUCUUGGCAGGGCGUUCGGUGUUUUUAAGUCCUCCGAACGGGACUCUCUAUUUUCUUAAUCGUCCUGAGGUUCGUUGGGUGGCGAAGUCGGUACUUCCGGUAGCGCCUCCUCUUCAUGUAUAGUUAUCUUCAUUUUCCACACCUGACUCGGUGCUUCAAUCUCCUCUGGAUAAUUCUGUUUAAACUCAACGUCUUCUGAUCUUACAACUUCUCCUUCAUAGUCUGCCCAUCCGUCCUUGAUGAUCUGCCUCCUCUGGUUGCGGUUGCGUCUUUUCCUUACCUGCUUAGAUUCUUCAACGAUAUAGUUAGGGUCAGUAAAAUAACGGCGUACCUUCUCUGAGGGGAAGUGCAUAUGGACUUCUCCGGUUCCAAUGUAGAUAAUUGCUUUAACGGUGCUGAGGAACGGUCUUCCAAGGAUGAUGGGUGGAUCAUACUCGUCUUCUCCCAUGUCAACAACUUGAAAGUCUGUGUAGACAAAGUGAUCGUCUAUUUUGACUGGGACAUCAGAUACUAUUUCUUGAACUUCUCGAAAUGUCUGAUCUGCCAUCUGGAGCUGAAUGUAUGUUGGUCUUAGUGGCAUGGUUCCGAACAAGAGCCGAUAGGUGACUGCGGCCAUUAUGUUGACGCCCGAUCCGGUGUCGCAAAUUGUCUUGUAGAAGUUGUAUCCAUUUAUGGAGCAGUAAAUGCUUGACAUUCCUGGGUCGUCCUUCUUGGUCAAAAACGGUGACUUAAGUUGAUGAUCUUGGCCUCCAUGGACUACAGUGACCAUCUUAGCUGACUCGGUCCACACUUGCUUGUUCAUGUUUCUCCUGUUGGUCCUCUUCCUUGAUUCACGUCUGGAUUGAUCUGGAAUUUGUGUAGUCUUGUUCUUGAAGAAAAAUGUCUCCUUCUUCCCUUUGACGUAGAAACUGAUCUUGGCAGCACUAGCUUAGAUGAUAGCUCCCGUGGUGUUCAAAAAUGGCCUCCCUAGGAUGAUAGGUGCUCUCUCAUCAUUUCCGGUCUCUACCACUACGAAGUCUGCUGGGGCAUAUAAGGUACCAACUCGGACACAAAGGUUCUUCACUAUUCCUUUUGGAAAAGUUAUCGUCUGAUGUGCAAACUGCAAACACAUGGUUGUUUCUAAUAAAGGAUAUGUAAAGAAUUUUUCAUAGAGUACCCUGGGUAUAAUGUUGACACUAGAGCCAAAGUCGCAGAGUGCUUCUGGGAAGUCCACCAUGCCGAUGGAGAUCGGGAUGACGGGGCGUCCUGGAUCGCCUCUCUUGACCGACAGACGGUCAGUAGAAAAUUCAGUGACGGGAUUACUCCAAUUACCUGCAUCAAACAUGUCUACAAGAUUUGCAGAUUCUAAUCCUUCCAGUUGUGAUGGUAUACCGGGGUUAGUAGUAGGAACAGCAGCAGCUAUUUGAUUUAACUGGGAUUCAAUCAUUUUAUUAAAGCUAAUUUGAUUCUUGAUGGUAGUAGAAAAAUUAUCUAUUCUAUUAUUUAUAUUUUCUAGCAUUUUAUCAUUAGAUGCCAAUUUCUUAGAUAGGUUAUCCAUUAGCUUUCCUUGAUUAGACACUAACUCUCUCAAAGGUGAAAAAUUAUUAGUAUUGUUGUAAGAAUUGUUACCUUGAUAAUUACCUGAGUAGUUAGGCCUCUGUAGAUUCCAACCUUGAUUUUGUUGAGGACGGUUGUAGUAGUUGUUGUUGUUGUUGAUGUAGUUCACAUCCUCAAGCAUCUCAGGGCAGUGGUUGCCUGAGUGUCCAGUGUCUCCACACUCCUCACAAGUCAUGUGAGAGUCGUAGAUGUGCAUAACUUCUUUCUUGUCUCCAGCUCUAUCGUCGAGCUUCUUCAUGAGCAGGUCUAGCUUUGCAGACAGCAUGUCUACCUCCUUCAGCUGAUGCAUACCUCCACCUCUCUUGCGUGUCUGGGUCCUCUCUUCAUUCCAGCUUUGGUUGGAUGCCAUCUUCUCCACAAGAGCUGUGGCUUGUGGUAUAAUAAGUGAUAAGAAUGCUCCUCCAGCUACAGCAUCCAUGGUUUCUCGGGCACUGUUGCCGAGCCCAUGAUAAAAUGUCUGCAUCAAUAGCCAACUCUCCAUUCCAUGAUGGGGACAUUCUAGGAUGUAGUCUUGAAAGCGCUCCCAUGCUUCUGGAACAGAUUCAUCAUUUUGUUGCUGAAAACUUGUAAUCUUCCCACGGAGAGCAUUGGUCUUGCCCAUGGGAAAGAACUUAGCCAGGAAGUUUGUUGAGCAGAGUGCCCACGUAGUAUUCUUCUCCUUUGUAGCGUAGAACCACUGCUUCGCUCUUCCUAACAGUGAGAAUGGGAAGAGGCGAAGUAGUAUAGCAUCUUUGGGAACUCCUGAUAUGGUGAAUGUGUUGCAAAUCUCUAGGAAGUGUUGUAAAUGAGCACUAGCAUCUUCGUGUGUCUUCCCACAGAACUGGUUGGAUUGCACCAUGUUGAUAAGUCCAGGCUUGAGCUCAAAGUUGCCAUCGAUCUCUGCAGCAGGUCCAGUGCGGAUGUUGUCCGUAGUGGGAGCUGAGAACUCGCGGAUUGAUUUGUUCGCCAUGGCCUCGAACUCUGAAGACAAGUUCCAGUGAUCUUCUUGAUUGGAUGAAGCUUCUUCGUGAAGUGUUGAUGAUCUCUUCAGCUUGGCCCUCGUCUUCUUGAAUAAUGCUUCAGGAUUGUCAACAAAAUUUCCUGGAAGAUGUCUUCUAUUCAUCCAUUCCCCUGCAUAAGAUAAAAUAGAAAAAUAUCGGGGUAAAACUGUAUGAGAGAAUAGAUAAGCUCAAUCAUAUUAGUGAUGUGAAUGAUAACUCAAAAUCCUUUAUUCCAUUCCUGAUUAGUAAUCAACCUUCCCCGGCAACGGCGCCAAAAAUGCUUGUUGGGUAUUCUUAACAUCAUUACCAAAAGUAGACUAAGUUCUCUAAAUCUAGUAACGGUGCCAAAAAUGCCAAACCUAUCCCUCACACCACUUAAGCCAAGUUGUCAUCCCCAGCAUGAUAUAAGAGACGCGGUAUUGAAAUAUGCAAUUGCUCUUCUAAAUAAAUAAUGAAUGGGAUCUGCAAGCGCACAGAUUAAUACCGAUGCAGCAUUUUAACCGGGAAGUAUUCCAGGUAUCGUUAUUUAUAUUUUUACCACUGGGAAGGGAUUAGAAAUCAUCACUAUUGAUUACAGAAUAGAAUAUGAGAUUGAGCAUCUAUCAUUGCAUGUAUAAUUGAGAACAUUAUAUCUAACUCUUCAUACAGGGAUAAGUGUCACAUAAAAGAUAUAUGAAAUAAUAAUAGUGACAAAGAUAAUUAAUCUGAUCUAGCCACAUAAUAAAUAUGAUAAGCACCUCAAUUAGAUACUCUAGAAAGUCAUUAGCAUGGUAUUAGAACGAACUACAAGAAUAUUCCCUAAGUUAUUCUCAACUAUAUAGUCUAGCAUAUCAUAGUUAGUGCAAGCAUACUUAGCAAUCAUUGCGAGACAAGACUACGCCCAUGCAUAGUGAUAUUAGCAAGGAAUAUGAGAAACAUAGCAAUCACUCCCCUGUAAUAAUGUUGCUCUACCAGCCCAAUACACGAGAGGGGGACUAUAUAAGAAUCAAUGAAGCUGUCACUAUCACGAACCACCCCACGAUCUGGCAUAUUGGGUACAAUCGCAGAUAAAUACGGUAUAAGCACCACGCCUACACAAUAUCUAUUAUUUACCCAUGGAUCCGAUGGAUAAACGCUAUACGAUCCUAAGCAUGUAUAUAGAUCGAAUCUAACUAAGCCAAGUACAUAACUAUGAUAAACUAAGAACAAUAUAAUUCUGAAUAUAAGCAAGUAGAGCAAAUUCAUAAGCAAUAUAUUAAAGUAGAACAAAGUCAUAUUCAUAAUAUUGAAGAACAAAGAUAAUUAGAAAGCAAUUAGAAGCACAAUUAGAGAAUUACCAAGAAUCCUCUUGACAGAUCCGGAAACCAAUCGAAGAUUGACUCCUUCUAGUUCUAAUCCUAUGUAGCUAUGCUAAUCUAGAUAUCUAAUUGAUGUGGUGGCUCUAAUCUUGAUCAGAGGCUUCUUCUCCCUUGAUGGAACAAUGAAUUAGGGUUGAGAGGCUCUCUCCUCCAGGGGCCAGGGGGUCUGGUUUUAUAGUCCCUCCAAGUGAAUAUGGGCCCUUGGAUCAAACCGACAUAGAUUGUAUGGUUUAGAUUCAUCCUUUAGGUCGGUGGAGAUCUCCCGCAAAGCAGAGUCCUGAUUGGACUCAGGGGCAGGGCGGGCACCCAGUAGGACAGGGCGGGCGCCCUGUCUCUGGCCCCGUUUCGCCUCCGCUUCGGUCUCGUGGCUUCUGGAGUCUUCUAGAUGUAAGAUAAUUGCGCAGCACAUUAAUAUCUUUACGUAAUACCGACAUGUGGGCCUUUCUUCCAUAUUUCCUGAUAACCCCCGCAGAAAUAGACAAACACCAAAACUCGUGGAAUUCUGUCAGAUAAAACCCUAAGUCUUGAUCUUGAUUUCAUUUGGAUCCUUUUCUUUGUUUAUUUGAUAAUUAAAUUUGAUACUUAAGGACCGUCAACAACAGCAUCUCCCUCAACAGAAUCAGUUUGUAGUGAACCAAAACCAAUGUCUCUACUGCAAGAAAGAAGGACACUGCAAGAAAAGAUGCCCUGAUUGGCUACAGAUGAAGCUUAGAACAAGUGGUGAGAAUAUUAUUACUUUUGUAAAUGAAUCCAUGUAUGUAAGUUAUUCUAAAUCCACUUGGUGGAUUGACUCAGGUGCAACUGUUCAUGUUGCUAAUUCUUUACAGGGGUUCAGAUCGACAAGGACGAGAGCAAAAAGUUAAAGACACAUUAGAGUGGCGAAUGGAAUCAGAGCAGAUGUUGAAGCUGUUGGCGAUGUCUCCCUAGAGCUUGCUAGUGGCUUUACACUUUUACUUAGAGAUGUCCUUUAUGUUCCUUCGCUUCAAAGAAAUUUGAUUAGUGUGUCACGUUUAGACAAUGAUGAUUAUGCUUGUCGUUUUGGUGAUGGCAAGUGCCAGAUUUAUUGUAAUAAUGACUGUGUUGGUGUUGCAUUCCAACAAGAUCUUUAUUUAUCAUCACUUCGUGAAACUGUGAAUUCUGUAUGUGAUGUUACAGAAAAUAUGUCCUUGACUGAGAAUGAGAAUAGAAAAAGAAAGCGAACUCAAGAUGCAUCGUCGAAAUUAUGGCAUUGUUGUUUAGGCCACAUUUCGAGGGGGGAAUAGAGAGAUUAGUAAGGAAUGAAAUUCUUCCUCCACUUGAGUUCUCAGAACUAGAGCAAUGCACAGAUUGUAUUAAAGAAAACUAUGUAAAGAAAAUUAAAAAGAAUGUCAAACGAAGCAUAGGGAUUUUAUAGAUAAUCCACACGAACAUCUGUGGACCCUUCCCUGUGAAAAGUGUGGAUGGCUAUGACUCAUUCAUAACAUUCACAGAUGAUUACUCCUGAUUUGGGUACAUUUAUCCAAUUAAAGAAAGAGUAGAGGCAUUAGAUAAGUUCAAGAUAUUUAAGACUGAUGUUGAAAAUCAGCACAACCUAAAGAUUAAGAUAGUCAGAUCUGACUGUGGAGGGGAGUACUAUGGUCGGCACACCCCUUAUGGCCACGUUCCUAGACCUUUUGCAAGGUUCUUAGAGGAGCAUGGCAUAGUAGCCCAAUAUUCUACAACGAGCGAGCCUCAGUAGAAUGGAGUAGCUGAAAGAUGAAACUGUACCCUGAUGGAUAUGGUGCGAAGUAUGAUAAGUUACUCUAUAUUACCGCUAAGUUUGUGGAUGGAGGCAUUAAAAACCAUCAUUCACAUUCUAAACAGAGUUCCUAGUAAAUCGGUGCCUAAAACACCAUAUGAGUUGUGGACAGGAAGAGUACCCUCACUAAGGCACUUGCGUGUGUGGGGGAGCCCUGCUGAGGCUAAAGUAUUUAACCCAAACAUUGGAAAGCUAGAUCCCAAAACAGUUAGUUGUCAUUUUAUUGGCUACCUAAAAAAAUCAAAGGGUUAUCGUUUCUACUAUCUAGACAGAUAUACAAAGUUUGUAGAAACGAGACACACCGUAUUUCUAGAGGAUGAGCUGAUCAGGGGGAGCGUGGUAGCUCAAAAGAUUGAUCUUGAAGAGAAGCGGGUGUAUGCGCCCACUCCGAUGAUUCAAGAGCCAUUUUUUGAAUUACCCAUUGUGAAUGCACCGACAGUGCCUGACUCUGCGAUGCCAGAACCUAUUGCUCACUCUCCUGUGGCAACAACAGAUGAAAAUGAGGAACCUAUCCUUCAGGAGCCCAUAGAAGAACCAGAUGCCACAGGCGAGGGGGAGCAACAACAGCCCCAACCAGAAGUAGUGCCAACUGUGGAGGCACCGAGAAGAUCUCAAAGAAUCAGAAGAUCAGCUAUCCCAGAUGACUAUGAAGUCUUCAACAUAGAGGAAUUUCAUAUGGAGGGUGAUCCCACCUCAUAUGAUGAAGCCAUGAGAAACGCCAACUCAUCGAAGUGGCUAGAAGCUAUGAGAGAAGAGAUGAAAUCCAUGAGCUCCAAUGGAGUUUGGGUUUUAGAAGAGAUUCCUAAAGGAGCCAAAACAGUAGGCUGUAAAUGGGUCUAUAAAACCAAAUAUGACUCCCAAGGGAAUGUAGAAAGAUUUAAAGCACGACUUGUGGUGAAAGGCUUCACGCAAAGAGAAGGGAUUGAUUACAAUGAGACAUUUUCUCCAGUCUCAUGUAAAGAUUCCUUCAGGAUCAUAAUGGCUCUAGUGGCUCAUUAUGAUUUAGAAUUACAUUAGAUGGAUGUAAAGACGACACUCCUACAUGGGGAUUUGGAGGAAAAUGUUUACAUGGCACAACCGAAAGGUUUUGUCGUGGAAGGAAAAGAGCGAAUGGAAUGCCGCCUAAAGAAAUCCACUUAUGGAUUAAAACAAGCUUCAAGACAGUGGUAUUUGAAUUUUGAUAGAGCAAUUAGAAGUUUUGGGUUAAAACAGAAUGUAGAGGACAACUGUGUUUAUGCAAAGUUUAAGAAUGGGAAGUACAUCUUCCUAAUCUUGUAUGUGGAUGAUAUCCUACUCGCAAGUAGUGAUGUCAGUCUACUGCAGGAAACAAAGAAAUUCUUGUCCUCGAAGUUUGACAUGAAAGAUCUUGGUGAAGCAUCAUAUGUUUUGGGCAUAGAGAUUCACCGAGACAGAAAGAAGGGGGUAUUGGGAUUAUCACAGAAAGCAUAUAUAGAAAAAGUUUAGGGAGAUACAAUAUGCACAAAUGUAGUGCAUGACCUACACCGAUAGUCAAGGGUGACAGAUAUGGGGAUCUUCAGUGCCCCAAGAACGAGUAUGAGCUCAAUCAGAUGAGAUCAGUUCCAUAUGCUUCGGCUGUUGGAAGUUUACAGUACGCUCAAGUAUGUACUUGCCCUGACUUAGCUUUUGUUAUCGGGUUGCUUGGCAGAUUUCAGAGUAAUCCAGGUGUAGAACACUGGAAAUUAGUAAAGAAGGUCCUGCAUUAUUUGCAAGGAACAAAGAGCCUCAUGCUUACAUACAAAAGAUCAGAUUUUCUAUAGAUAGUAGGAUAUUCAGAUUCAAAUUAUGCGGGAGAUAACAGAAAGUCCACGUCAGGCUAUGUAUUUACUCUCGCAAAUGGAGCCAUAUCGUGGAAAAGUAAAUUACAGACGGUCAUUACAUCGUCCACAAUGUAUGCCAAAUUUGUAGCAUGUUUUGAGGCAUCGGGGGCAGUUGAACUGGUUAAUGAAGUUCAUACCUGGUUUGAGAGUGGUUGAUAACAUCUCUAAACCACUACAGUUAUACUGCGAUAAUAAUCCAGUAGUAGAAUAUGCACACAACAAUAGGUCAAGUGGUGUUGCCAAACACAUUGACAUAAGGUACUAUGUUGUGAAAGAUAAGAUCUGGGAUCAUGUCAUAAAGCUUGAGCAUAUAAGCACUGAAAAGAUGCUUGUGAUCCACUUACCAAAGCUUACCACCCAGCGUGUUUAGAGAACACAUAGCCGGCAUGGGUUUAAGGGAAAGCCUAUGAUUCCUGGACAAAAGGCCCAAAGAAUAACAGAAUUUGUUUCAGAGCAGAGAAGUGUAUCUGUAGCUGUCAAGUCUAUCGACGAUAGACCGUGAUGAUGAAGCAGCUCUAUGCACUAAUUUGUGAUGGAAUGAAUAAGGUAAAAGAGUUUAAAAAGAAAGAAUACAAAUAAAGAAUAGAAUGAGAUCAAGGGGGAGAAUGUUGGUUUGAUGUCCUACCAAUAUGGCCCAACAACCGUAUUGGGCCUUGACUCGAGCCCUGAUUGGGGGCACCCAACCCUACAUGGUUGGUGGACCCCCGUUGCCCUGCGCUAUAUAUAGAGGUGGGGGCCGGUGGCACUAUUCACGAGUUGAACAGUUGCCACUCCUCCCCACCGACAUUCAAACCCUAGAAAACCCAAACCGAUCCAGGGAGCGCAGCCAGCGGCGGGAAAUCUCACCGACGCCAGAUCCACGCCGUCUCGACGUCCACGCCACCACUGUCUUCAACACCGUUGCGCAGCUAGCAAUGACAUGGCUUCGGGAUCGACAUCCGCUGCCCCUGCUACUCCCUCUAUUGACGGUCUAAUCCUAUUAAUCCCGAUCUAUUUACUUGUAUUUCCUGUGUUCGUACUAGAUCUUGUGUAGGACUUGUACUCUGUUGUUUACAAAUCAAAGAAUGUACUCGCCUAGAUCUACUGCUAGUUGAUCCUGUAUAUAGAAUAUUUUAUCACCUUGUGCAUGCAUUUUUAAAAAGAUGAUGGAGCAAGUAUUUCAGCAUACUGAGUAUGACAAGUUAGGUUCAGAAUAUACAUAACUUGAGCAGUCAAAAUUUACACCAUAUACAUGUAAACCGAGUGUCACUUAGUUGGUUUGGCCCAUGAUUUUCAACACUACUUCAUCAGCAGCGAACGAACAAUGUUAAGCUAAUAAACCUGGAACCAAUCUAAGGCCUUUGUUUGGGACACAUGUAAAUUGGAGUUGAUACACAUAUAUCUAAACAAGGCCUAAUUAGGUUCAAAAUCUUAACUUUAGCAUGGAUUUUUGUAUUUUCUUGAAUUUAUUUUAGACUAGAAUUUGAAGGCAGUUUUUUUCGUGCGUGUUUGUGAGCAUACCGUGUAAUCUAUACCUACUAAUAAAGAGGCAAAAUUUCAGUCUGCCCUUUUUUAUUCUGCCCGCUCCUCUCCCAUCCGCUUCCUCGUGUCCCCGUCGUUGCGUGCCCGAUGCUUCUCUCCUGUCCGCUUCCCCGUCCGCGCCCAGCCUCAAAUUUGGUCUGGAAAUUUUUUCGUCUGUCCACUCUAAUCCAGUCCCAGUCCGUCUCAUAUGUUUGUACCAGAUUCCAGAUCGAGUUCAGAACGAAAUCACAUACAAAUCAUGUAGCAUAUACUAGAUUUCAGAUAGAGUCCAAAACAAAAUCACAUACAAAUCUAAGUACCAUAUAUCCAAUAGCAACAACUCCGCGAUAGAACGCGCACCUAGAGCCGAAAAAACCAGCUUCACCCAACUCCUUCUUGUCCCCAUGGGCCCAGCUUGUGUAUCGCACUGAUUCGGGGAUGGGAUGCGGCGGCACGGAGAGGAAGAGGGGUGAGGGCGCGCUGAUUUGGGGAGGAGAAGGGCGAGGGCACAUUGAAGCGUGGAGCUGGAGGCAAGAAUUGGAGGUAGAAGAAACGCCUAGAGCGAUGCAGAUAAGAGCAGCUUGAGAGGAGGAGUAUGGUUCGCUUUCACCACUGCAGGCACCGAACCAAGCAAAGCAAUUAUUGGAAGCGGCUCAUCCUCUCAGUUGGAACCAAGCCAAUAAAAAAUUGAUUGAGUGGAGUUACUGCCGUCCUUUGUGCAGUAGGUGUGGACAAGAAACAAUAUCCUGCCGCAUUCUUCACUCUUUUCUAUUUCGCGGUGGCCCCCACCAACACUGUAGCGCUUGAACCAUCACAGCAGGAUCGAACUAGACACUGAGCAAGAUGGAAAUAGUACGGAGAAAAAAAUACAAGAAAAAAAGGCAUGCAGUUGUUUGGAUAAUUAAGAAUGAAAAAAGAUAAAAGGUAAAAGAGAAAAAAGGGCAAUACAGAUAUUUCAUCAUUUUGAUAAGAUAGGAGAAGUUGUUUUGCUAAACGUUUUUCCAAUGAGACAAACUGAAACCAUAAAAAGCUGCUCCAUGAUAAAAUAUAGAAUUGAAGCUAUUUUAGUCGGAGCCAGAGCCCUGCCGAAUAAGCCCUAGGGCUUAAAUCAACUUCUCAAUGGUUUUGUUCGUGGAUAGGAGAAGCUUGGUCAUCUAAUGUAGAUCGGCGGCCGAGGAAGCUUGCGGCUCAGGUACGACUACAGGUGUUGAAGGCCCAAACAGGCUUUUCCAGCCCAUAUACAGGUUACAUUUCUAACUAUUCUGUCUGCCUUUAGCUAGGCAAGGCUUUCGUUUUUAUAUAUUUUUCAAUUAGCUCUCAUUUUUCUAUAAAAAACUAGCUAUCAUUUUAACUAUGCACUGUUUAAAUUUUAAGUAUAUUAUCAUGAAUUAGGUUGAUCUUAAUUUUCAUGUAAAAACAAAUAGAUACCAUAAGAGAGAUUAUAUGUUGUUGGUCACGUGAAAGCGUUACAAGACUAAGAAGAAACAAGAAUUGAGAGAGGAACAUGAAAGAGUGGUGAUGUGAUCAAGCCUUAUGAUGCUAAGCUUUGGUAAAAAAAUAUUAUUAGGUAUAUAGAUAUACUAUACUAAUAAUGUUUUAGCUCCAAAGUCUUCUACGUGACUCAAAUCUAUGACUCGUGCUCAUAUAAGUUAGAGCAAUUCACGUCUAAUGACAUAACGAUGCUCUUAUCCAAAAUGUAUUAAGAACUUGCUUUUUAAAUUGUUAAAGUGCCCUUGCAUCUUUGUAUUGAGAAUCCUUUUUUAAUCUCAAACUGCCGUCACAUCUUAUACAUCUUGUACGUGAUAUGAUAUGAACUUAAUAACUCGUUCUCCUACAAGUUAUGAAAACUCACAUCUAGCCAAAAUAUAGAAUCUAAUUUUAAAACAUAUUAAAUCUUGUUGUAACUCACGAAAACAAGUAACAUUAACAUAUUAAAAAGAGAGAAAGAGAAUUAAUAGUGCAUACCCUGCCUUAUCCACUCAUAGAAGGGAACAGCUAAGGCGUGGGACCUAGAGAGAUGAAGGCAAACAAAGAUAAUACUACUAAGCUGCAUGAUUCUUUUUUAUGAUUAUUGCCUAAAAUAAUGAUAUUAUAAUAAUGCUGAAAUUGUUGUGAAUACUAGCUUAUAAAAGUGAUAUGGAUCCACAAUGAAUCUUGAUAGAACUAUAUACCUUUUACAUUAAAUUCAAUUCAAUAAUUUAUGAUUGUGUAUUAUGACUUAAGUGGUUUUAUAUAUAAUAAUAGAUUUAUAAAACUAAGUUUCACUCCCGUUGCAACGCACGGACAUUUUUACGAGUUACUUAUAAAAAAAUGCAUACCGUGUAAUUUCAAAGAAAAUCUGCACCGUCCAGCGACAAGCACAGACGAGGGCCUUAUUGUAAGAAGAAGGAACUUGAUUUGGUAUAUUAAUUAAUUAUAAUUUAACGGUUUCUCCUGGAAUGUGAUUUGAUACAAUAUAUUGACACUUGCUUUUCAACACUAUUAGACUUAGGGAGUGUUUAGUAAAUUCUGAGUUUUGAUCCAUCAUUUUGCAUAAUGAAACUAAGGUCUUGUUUAAUUCUUGAAAAAAAUUUGCAAAAAACCCCAAAAUCCCAAAACCCUGAAUAGCCCACCAAAAAUCUAACGCCAUUUUUUUUGGUUUUGGUGUUUAGUUCCAAAACAUUUUGCAAAAUAGGGACACAAACAGCCCCUGUUUAAUGCCUCAGUUUGGGAUUGCACAGUUUGGAGCCGAAAAAAUUUGGCCCUGAUUACUUCCAAAACGCAAAAAUACAAAAUAUUUUGCUUUUGGCCCAAAAACUUUAGAACAAAAAAAACCCUAAACAUCAUGCAAAUUUUUUAACAAAAUGGCUGUCAUUUUUUAUUUUAGAUUUUGGCCUCAAAAGGUCAAAAAAUUCCCAAAAGAGCCUGAAGAGGCCAUAAUGAAGGCAAUAAAUUUUACAUUUUGGACGGAAAUAAAGAUAACCCUGAUUUUUGGCAUUCUGUAUUUUAUCAUUUCAAAGUAGUUGACAUUUUUGCAUUCCAUGUGUAACUAAACAGGCCCUUAUAUAAAGGCAUGAUAGUUAAGAGAGCAAUAACAGAGCAAAACGCAGUGAUGGUACAACAUUUUUGCACAAUGGAUACAAUUUUGUAAAUAGAUUCUCAAAUGAGGCCUUAUUUAGUUGGUAAAAAAUGGAUUUGACUACUGUAGCACUUUUAUUUGUAUUUGACAAUUAUUGUCCAAUCAUAGACUAACUAGACUCAAUAGCUCGUAAAUUAUAGGUAAAAUAUAUAAUUAAUUAUUUUUUAUCUGUAUUUAAUGCUCUAUCUAUGCGUUCAAAGAUUUGAUACGACAGGUUUUGUAAAAUUUUUUAGAACUAAACAUGGCUGAGGCCUUGUUUAGAUCCAAAAACUUUUUAGAUUUUGACACUGUAGCAUUUUCGUCUUUAUUUGACAAACAUUGUCUAAUCAUGUAGUAACUAGGCUUAAAAGAUUCGUAUCGUGAUUUACAGAUAAACUGUAUAAUUAGUUAUCUUUAUUAUCUAUAUUUAAUGUUCCAUGCAAGUGUUAUAAGAUUCGAUAUGAUGAGAAAUCUUGUAAAGUUUUGGGUUUCGGGUGCGUGAGCGACCGCCGACGUGGCUUCUUGCGGCCACAACGGUUCAGUGCAGCCUGUCGUGGUUGUGGCCCUGCAGAGUUACGGCGUGGAUCGAGCCCGUUCGCGGGCCGCUUCGCGUGGCUAGACCGGGCCCAAGUAUCCCGCUGCGAUUGACGAGACGAACACGCGCGCGGCGCGCCAGUCUUCUUGCGGAAGGCCGUGGUGAAAUUAAAAGGGUUCCAAUUAAAAUCGCCGUCUCCCCCGGCAACUCUACUCACUACCUCCACCGAUCCUCCUCGUUGCCCUCCCUCCCUCCCCCGUCUUGGAGCAAUGCCGUUCACAUCCAUGCUACCGCGGCCGUAUCGAGCCCCGGUUUCGUGUUUACCCUAUCUAUCCUACUUCGUUUCGUGGUCGCCAACUCUGGCGUCUGGGCAGCCAUCCCCUCGGCUCCCGCGUCGACUUGUUAUUGGCUCAUUUCUUGAUUUGGCAGUUCAAGCGAACAGCGACGCCGCGCGGCUAUGCAACUCCUCAGUACUACUCAGGUUAAGGCGUGAAACACUGCCGUUCGGUUUCAUACUUCCAUUGCAUAUUUGCAUUGCACACAAGGUGGUCGCCUUUUUGCCUGCUCAGAAGGUGCUCGUCUGUUGGCUUGCCCUUUUUCUUCCUCAGUUCUCUGUAACCCUAUAAUUUCAUUUUGUCUUCUCUAGUUUCUGGUUCCUUUCGGCUCCCAAGUCAUGUCAUCCCGGCCAGGUAAGAGCGAGAAAUUGACUAUUAUUGGACUCCAAACAACUGAUUUCUUGGUUUCUUCUAAAUAGGACUCCAAACGUUGUUUAUAAGAUCUAAUGACAUUUUGGGUCUUUUUAAUCAAUUUUGGUAACUCAAAAUACAUGUAUUUUCAGUUAAUGACUGUAUUGUCCUUCAGCCUCUGUACACAGAUCAAAGUUUUAGUUUCUCUCUAAAAAAAGAUCGACAUUUCCACCGUGAGUCUUCCAUCGCCCGGGCCUGUUCGACUCCGCCGCCGCCCCACCAUGGUGCCGCCUCUCCCCAGUGAUCCACCAUGGACAGAAGCUGAAAAAGGGUCACGGACUGAAGCUAGACAGCAAGACAUGAAAAAAAGCUAGACAAGGUAACACGGAGCCACGGAUAGAAGCCACGGCGAGGAAGUUACGAUGUUUUUUUUUUCUAACAGAGCCGACCAUUACAGUGAAUGAAGGGUAAAAAAGUUACUUUAGGAACAAAUACAUGUAUUUAGAUAAGAAAAGAGAUUCAAAAGACACAAAAUACCAUUAUAGCUUAUUACCAACGUUUGAAGUCCUAUUUUGAAGAAAUCAAUGUUAAAAAUCAUAUUCUGAAGAAGUCACACGUUUAGAGUCCUAAUAGCCAAUUUCUCCUUAAAGAGAAGCUGCACUCGUAAUAGAGAGGAAAAGAGUGGGAAAGCUAUGGUGGACCUCGAAGAGAGCGGGGAGGGAAAAAUAAAAGAGAGUCUUAUUGAAUGAUAGAUGGAUCUUAAAUAAUUGGUUUUUGUGUUUUAAGAUUUUCUUCUUCUUUCUUUUGAAAUUUAGGGAUCAGCCUUGGAUUGGCCUUGCUCUUUUUUAUCGUCUUUUUUGCCCCAAAUUUUAGAGAUGAACUUAUUUACGGCUUUGCUCUUAGGCCUUGUUUAGUUGAAGAGGUGGAAAGUUUUUAGGUACCGUAACACUUUUAUUUUUAUUUGACAAUUAUUGUUCAAUUAUGGACUAACUAGGUUUAAAAAAAUUAUCUCUCAAAUAACAUGUAAACUAUGUAAUUAGUUAUUUUUUAUCUAUAUUUAAUGUUCUAUGUAUGUGUUGCAAAAUUUAAUAUAACAAGGAGUCAUAAAAUUUUUUUAGGUUUGGGCGUGAACUCAAGGCUCGCUUUUGGUGUUCUGCCUGCAGCUGCUUACCCCGCCAAAAGCAGAACCCCGCCUUUCCAAAAAGCAGCAUCUUACUUAGGCUUUGUUUAAUUGGAGAAAAUUUUUGAUUUUGGUUACUGUAGCACUUUCGUUUGUAUUUAUUAAUUAUUGCCCAAUCAUAGACUAACUAGACUCAAAAUAUUCGUCUCGUAAAUUACAAAUAAACUGUGUAAUUAGUUUUUAUUUUUAUCUAUAUUUAAUGUUCUAUGUAUAAAUCUAAAAAUUUGAUGUGACGAGAAAUCUUGAAGAAAUCUUGAAAAUUUUUGGAAACUAAACAAAGCCUUAGGAGAUUAAACCUGGGUGGAGGGGGAUUGGGUGGUGGAAGCCUGGAAGGGGAUUAACCCAGUCCAUUCUUGGAUGAAUUCUCACGUGUAUAUCUGGAAGCCAAAGCGCAAAACUGAACCCGGUCUUGUUUAGUUCCCAAAAUAUUUUACAAAAUUUUUCAUAUUUACUAUCACACUAAAUCUUACGGCACAUGUAUAGUGCACUAAAUAUAGAUAAAAGAAAUAACAUAAUUAUACAGUUUAUUUAUAAUUUACAAGAUAAAUCUUUUAAACCUAAUUAGUUUAGAUAAUAUUUGUUAAAUACAAAUGAAACCAUUCCUAUUUUGUAAUUUUUUUUAAGUAAACACGGCCCCGGUCUACCGUUUUCCCUCGCCCAGCCCAAACUUCGAAAUUGCCGAAGCCCGCCGUGUGUUCUGAAGUCUCCACGCUUCUCUGCCCCUUCCUACGCUUUCGAGACCAACAUGGCGCUAGGCGCCGGCGAGGGUAGCCUCAGCGAGGGGAACAGGGGCGGAGGCGGCGGCCUCAGCGAGGGGAACAGGGGCGGAGGCGGCGGCCUCAGCGAGGGGAACAGGGGCGGAGGCGGCGGCCUCAGCGAGGGGAACAAGGGCGGAGGCGGUGGCCUCAGCAAGAGGAAUAUGGGAGGACGAAGUGGUGACCUCGCCGGUGCGGAUGGAGAAAAGGGGGGCCUCCUCGAAGAGGGGAAGGGCUGCAGCAGACAGGUUCCUCUCCUCCCAGACCUCCAUGGGAUCCUCAUCCCGGGCCCCAGCGCCCCUUCAUCGACGAUUGACGGGGUCGCACCUCUCGCUCCCAUAAAGAUUGAUUUCAGCCGCAAGGAAAGGGUCUGCGCAAGGAUUUUGGGGGGCGAUGGGACCCCAGGCUUCUCCAAGAACUCCGGCGAGAAGGCGCCCGCAGGUGGCCUGCGCACCCGCGUCAGACUCUUCAAGGGGUUCCGUAUCUUGCCGCUGGGUUUCAAGAAUUCAUCUCAAGAGGAGGUAACUAUGUGGCUGUUAUUAUGAUACCUUCUGUCUUCUGAUUUGUCCCUAAUUUGAGUGUUUGGGCCUCUUGGUUUACCUGGGAUGUGGACUGUUAUUAUUUUCUUGAAGGGUUUUUUGGAUUCAUACCAUUACAAUUUUUGAACUUUGGAGAAACAUCAUUACUAUUCGUCUAUUUUGAAGCAUGCCAUUACAAUUCUUUGUUUCCUAAAAAAUGCCACAGAAUACGUAUAGAAACGACUUGGGCCCAGCUGUAGGCGUAUACGAAUACGUAUACUGCAUUGUAGCCCCUUUCCCUGUCACUGGUGUGUGGGUCCCACAUGUCAUCAUCUUCUUCCUUCUCAUAUCUCUUUGGUGAGCAGCAUCGUGUAUCAGUCACCGUCCAUGGCGAGCAGCAGCGGCUAGCACGUGGCCGAGCAGUAACACGCAGGCGAGCAACAGAAGCAGCACGCCAGCUGUGAGACACGAGCUCGCCAUCCACCGAUCCACGAGCAAUAACUGCAGUCUGCAGCACGCUGGAGCAACAUUAGCUCGCCAUUGACGGGGCCACGAGCUCCACACCAGCUAGGAGCGCCUAGGCUGCGAGCUCCGUGCCGCUUAUGCUGCGAGCUCCACAUGCCGUCCGGGCCGCGAGCAGCAGCAGCACGCUGCGAUCUCCCUUGCUUCCCACAAGCAGCAGCUAGCACGCUGCACACGGGCGAGCAGAAGCAGCAAGCGCCGAGCGGCCGGUGGAGGGGCGCAUGUGGCUGGCGGCACGCAGCCUGCGUGGAGGCGUGGAGCUCGCCAUGGACGGCACAUGGAGCACGCGGCCAGCGAGGAGCUUGCGGCUUGGGUGCAUGGUGAGCAGAGCUCGCAGCCCACGCGCUCUCAGCCGGCAUGCUGCUGCUGCGGCUGCUCGGCCACGUGCUAGGUGUUGCUGCUCGCCAUGGACAGCGACUGAUGCUGCUCACGCCAAGGAGAGAGAGGAGGAAGAAGAAGAUGACAUAUGGGGCCUGCGUGUCGGUGAGAGGGGAGAGGGCUGCAAUGCAGUAUACGUAUUCGUAUACGCCUGCAGCUGGGCCCAAGUCGUCUUUAUACGUGUUCUGUGGCAUUUUUAUAGGAAACGAAGAAUUGUAAUGGCAUGCUUCAAAAUAGACGAAUAGUAAUGGUGUUUCUCCAAAAUUCGAAAAUUGUAAUGGUAUAAAUCCAAAAAAACCCUUUCUUGAAUGUCACCCGGGGGGGUGGGUGGGGUGGGCGGGGGCACUGCUUGUUGAACUGUAAUAUCUUUGUCACCACAAUGGGAGAACAGGGUAGGGAAGCGAUCAGCAAAUGCAUCAUCACCUGACCAUACAUCAUACCAGAAGGACGAGUUUGUGCCAUCUUUGAUCUGCACUGUAGUCUAGCUUACUGUAUCAAAGGCCUUAGCAAACUCCAGCUUUAGCACCAAGGUCGGCAAUUUCCUUUUAUGGCAGACCUGAACCAAAGGUCUCCGAGAUGGAACGACCCUGUAAGAAAUCUGUGUGGUUGAGAUCAAUGACAGCCGAGAUUUCUUUCUGUAGUCUGGAGGUCAUGAUUUUUGCUAGGAUCUUGAUACUGCAGUUCUGAAGGCAUAUAGGUCUAAAAGCGUUCAAUGAAACUGCAGCUGGUUUCUUCGGAAUCAACACCAUGUAGGAUCUAUUUAUUCUGUCCAAAUCGGCCUCCCUUCUGUGAAAAGCACUUAGAAAUUGUCACCCGAGUUUUGAUUGUGCUCCAUGCUGCCGUAUAGAAGCCCGCCCCAAAGCUAUCAGGACCCGUGCGCUAUCUCGGUUCAUUGAGUGAAGAGCUUGCAGCACCUCUUGUUCGGUGAAUGGAGCUGAGAGGGAAGCAGGUCUUGGGCAGUGAAGGAACAGGUUUGAGACAUCAAAGCUCCUGCUAGAGUUCCCCCUCUGUCCAAUAAUUGGUUUGAAGUAAUUUGUCAAGGCUGCUGUUUUUCCUUCAUGGUCUGUGAUGUGCACUCCAUCGACUUCAAGCACUCUGAUUGAGUUUUGGCUCAUACGAAUUGUGGCCUGGGAAUGGUGGAAUGCUGUGUUGGAGUCGUCUCACGGAUGGCAUGGUUCUUGCUUCGCUGCUGCCAAUAGGUGGCUUUUCCCUUCAGUGCUUCUGUGAGGCAUUCCUGGCAAUCCCUCCUGUCCUACUCAUGAGAGGACAGCGGGCGAUCCUCUUCAAAGGUGUCAAAUAACUGAAUUAAAAAUUUGCAAUUUAGAAUGAGUUGAGGUGGCGUCCUUGUACGCCGAGCCCAAACCAUGGCAAGUCGCUCUCACCGCCUUGGGGCAGAUCGCAAGCUGACCAGCCGCAUCCGCACACCCAUCAGCAUUAUCCCAAGCAGGGAGGAUUGAAGGGAGUAGAUUGUUGCGCAGCCACGCAUUUUUGAAAUGAAACGUGGAUGGCCGAGGGAUGUAUGUGUCCAUAUUGAGCAUGAUUGGGGUAUGAUCCGAGGUUGGUCUUGGCAGGGUGUGGAGAUUUGUGGAUCGGAAGAUUUGGCAGUGAAGCAGGUUAGUGAUGGCUCUGUCGAGAUGAGCCAAGGUUGGGUUUGCUCUUUUGUUAGUCCAGGUGUAUCGCUUGUCAAGGAGAGGGAUUUCCAUGACAGCGAUGUCUUGGAUGGUGUUGUUGAAGGAUUCAGCGAGGGAGGAGUUGAAAUUCGAGUUGUUUAUAGGACCGUUAUUAUGAUAGCUUCUGUCUUCUGAUUUGUCCCUUACAUACCAUUCUAUCAGAUUUGUUCCUAAUCUGCAUAGAUAAAAACUAUUUUUGAGAUGGAAAAAUGUAUGAUUAAAAUGCAUGCUAAUGAGAAUUAACAGUUGCAUUAUUUGAGUAUGAAUGCCAUUAUCUGAGUAUGCCCACAUUUGUGUUAUUUUGUUUAAACAGGUUUCGUCAAAAAUAAAAGCACUCGGUGGACAAGAAGUAUCUGUGGGAGAAUAUGAUAACUGCACCCAUGUUCUUCUGGGGAACGAAACACACAGAAGUUUGAUAGCAGAGAAUUGGAUAGACCUGUCCUAUAAUGGUGAUGAUGUGAGCAUUCCACCAGAAACAGCUACCUCUAUUGGUUCAAGACCAAGGCGAAUGCCAGUUAAUCUUAACCGAGACAGCAGUGUCCGGAGAGAGCUAUUUCCAGUCUCUGCUGUGGGUAUUAAUGAGGAAAAGAUCCGCUGUUUGCACCACCAACUCUUUCAAUGCAUGAAUGAUGGAUCUAGCUUGGUUACUUUUGCUGCUUAUGCACAGAAGAUGAGGAGAUGCUUCAUAGUCUCUGAUAAGUGCCCUGGGACAAACAGAGAUGAAGAUGACUUCCACAGGUCAACUUUGCUGGAGCUGAAAAUCAUUUGCAAGGAAAUCUAUUUACUGCUAAAAGCUCUCAAGAAGGCAGGUUAUAGCCUUUCUGGAAACUUCAGUGCCAACAAUUUUGUGGUUAUUGAAAGAGUAACGGGGAAGGGUAUACUGUUUGGCCACCUUCAGAAGGAUUCCCUUCAAUGGACCAGUUCUGCUGCAGAAAUAUCUGAUGAAAAAGCUUUCAAGCGCAUGGUUAUUGGUUUAUUCCCAAAGAAUGUGCUGCCUCCCCAUGACUUAGUGACCUAGCUUGCACUGGUAGGCCGUAAAGAUAAGGAAUGGCUGCUAUUAAAUAAUUGGACACUCCUGGAUGAACAAGAUGCCCGAGAAAGAUUCCUAUUUUUGUGUGGCAAAUUGCAAGAGCUUUCUGAAAGUGUUCACACAACUGGAGAUUACAAUCGUAUUGUGGGAAGACUGAAUGAAAAGGGAUACAACAAGUGGCAACAAAAGAUAGACUCGGCCAAAGGAAACAAUUACUUAAAAAAACACACUAAACAGAGUGAAUCCUAAUACAAAUUUGCAUCAGGACUACAUAAAACAUGCAGGUGGUCUGCUUUUGCUGCUCCGCAACUGCCGGCAUCACUAUGCGAAAGCGGUGGUUCAUAAGUUUCUAAUGAUUGUCGCAGACAAUUUUCCCAACCUCCCGAUGGAUGUCCAGGAGGAGAUGUACAUAGAAGGAUUUUGUGCUUAGUGAGAUUUCUAUUAUUUGCCUUUGCCUAGGCAAUGUACAUAUAAAGAGAGAUACUAUGCUUAGUCAUUAAUGAUUACUGUAACUGGCAAGCUUCUAUGCUUAGUCAUUAGUGAUUACUGUAACUGGCCCGCAAACAUGUUUCUUGAUGACUAGGAGAAAAUUUUUGGUACCUGCUUGAAUUUGAAUAAUUUGCUAUUAUCUCCUCUCUUAUAUAUCUUUAGUGCUACUAGAUAGAAACUUUUGCAUACUAUGCUUGCCCUACUAGCCAGAUUGUAAGCUUUUUUAAACAAUUAUUUUAUAUCAGUGAUAUUGAAUAUCAACUAAAUUAAAAUAAGAAUUUGAUGGUUACUUAGGCAACUGUCACACACAGAAUAAUACAGAGAUGGGGAGCGUGAUCUAAAUUUUGUAAGAUAGAUUGCAUUAGCAGUUAUCGUGAUAUAUAAGCCAUAGGUGCCUAUUUUACAUUCAUUACCAUUUUGUGAAAUCAUUAGACAUGUUCAAGGCCAGCAGUUAGACAAACAAGGCAAAGAUGAUAGUAUUUUUUGUUAGACUAUAAUUAAAUGUGACACGAAGAGUCACGGUGCUGGCCUGUCUCCUGACCUCCCCGGUGCUUAUUCCCAUAAGCUAGUUGCUUGUUCCCAUUAGCUAGUUGUUAAGAUAAGGAGGGGCUUGGCCUAUAUAUGUAACCUUUUGAUAAAUCAAUUAACAUAGUGUGUAUUGCAUCUUGCUUCUAUCGCUUUCAUGGUAUCAUCAAGCGGUACGCUCCUGCGACCGUCCCUUCCGCUUCUCUGAUAAUCGCCGCCGGCCUCUCGCCGUGCGCGCGUCUCUCCCACCUCCGUCUCUCUUGCCAUGGCCUCUGCUUCCCAGGGACCAUCCCAUGCCGUGGCCCUGGAAACAGCUGCCAUCGCAGCGGCGCGUGCUGAUCUCGCUCGUCUUCAGGCUGCCCGGGCGGACGCGGCCCUCCUCCAAGCUGCCGAGGACGCCAUCACACGCCUGGAGGCUAUCCGUGCUGCCUGGGCGCAGCUCGACGACGACUUGCGAUCCACCCACGCCGCGGCCGCCCAGGCGUAUGCGGCAGCACAGGCGCAUGCUGGCACCAUCGCGCUCUACGCCCAGGCGGUGGUUGUCUCCAACAUCAAGCUUGUGAUCCCCAUCGUCCUCGAUCUGGCCUCGACACACUAUACCAAGUGGAAGGCUCUCUUUCUCAAUACUCUUGGCAAUGGCAAAUAUGAGCUGACCAACCACGUCUUGGCUGAGAUCGACGCUGACACUGCCACGGAUCCAUAUUGGGUACGUAUGGACUGCAUGGUGAAAUCCUGGAUUUUCAGCACCAUCACGCCGGAACUGAUGGAGGUUGUUCACACCGGCACGCCGUCUGCGCGCGAGUUGUGGCAGAACAUUGAGGAACAAUUCGUUGGCAAUCAGGAGACGCGCGUCCUCAUGCUCGACAGCCAGUUUCGCAACUUUGUACAGGGCAACCUCACCGUCACCGAGUAUUGCCGCAAACUCAAGAGUAUGGCAGAUGGCUUGGCCGAUCUCGGGCAUCCAGUGGAGGAUCGCACCCUCGUUCUCUCUGUUCUUCGCGGUUUGAACGAGCGCUUCGAGUACAUAGCCGCUCUCAUCAAACACCAGCGCCCGUUCCCCUCAUUCGUCAUUGUGCGCUCUGAUCUAGAGCUGGAGGAGAUCGAUGAACAUGCUGUCCAAGGCGCCUCCGCAGGCCCUUGUCGCUGCACGGCAGCCAGCAACCGCGACGCCUCCUGGUGGGGGUGCUCCUUCGACCUCUGCAACUACUACCUCGACUUCUGUGGCAUCUCCCUCUGGCGGCAUGACACCUCGCGGCAAGGGUCGUGGCCGUGGUAGGGGGCGCGUCGUGGAGGGCCGGCAUGGCCAUCCACCUUCAACCCGAUGACUGGGACGUUCCAGGUGUGGCCCGGCCACAACCCGGGCGUUCUAGGCACUCGUCCACACACCCUCGGUGCCGGCGUUCCCACUGGUCAUGCGCUGACUGCGCAGGGCACCCACGGGGCUGUUCCUGGCUUCUUUACGGGCGUGCCCCCUGGCUAUGGUGCGCCAGGCGCGUCGACCCCCGGCUGGACGCCUUCCCCGCCUGCUCCGUACUGGAAUCAGCAGGCGCUUGCUAAUUCCUUUAGCACCAUGAUGCUCACUCCCCCGUCGUCCAGCGAAUGGUACAUGGACUCCAGGGCGGAUGCUCACAUGACCUCUUCAUCUAUCCUCCUUCAUCGACUUGUCCUUCUAAUAUUGUUGUCGGUAACGGGUCCUUGCUACCUGUUACCUCCACUGGUCAUACUAGUUUUUCUGCCGAGCGUCCUUUAUAUCUUAAUAAUGUUCUUGUUUCUCCCCACAUUAUUAAAAAUCUCAUAUCUGUUCAAAAAUUUACUAUUGACAAUUCAUGUUCUAUCGAAUUUGAUCCUUUUGGCCUCUCUGUGAAGGAUUUGGCAACCAGGAACGAAAUCGUCCGCUGUGACAGCUCAGGGCGGCUCUACUCCUUCCAUGUCCCCUCUCGUGCACUCCUGGCUGCCACCACUCCUAGCACCCUCUGGCAUCGGCGUCUUGGUCAUUUAGGUGUGGAAGCUUUAUCUCAUUUAGUUCCAUGUAAUAAACGUGAGCUAGAACCCUUGUGUCAUGCAUGUCAGCUUGGUCGUCAUGUUCGGCAACCGUUUGUCAGCUCCCGUUCUCGUGCAGUCAAGAACUUUGAUUUACUACAUUGUGAUUUAUGGACAUCACCUGUACCUAGUAUUUCGGGCUAUAAAUAUUAUCUCGUCAUUCUUGAUGAUUGCUCACAUUUUACAUGGACUUUUCCCCUUCGGCUCAAAUCAGACAACUUUCAGACCAUAUCACAGUUUUUUGCUUAUGUUGCCACACAAUUUGGCACCUCUGUAAAAACCGUCCAGUGCGACAACGGACGCGAGUUUGACAACUUGGCCUCACGUCAAUUUUUCUCACCAAGGGUGUUACCUUGCGCAUGUCCUGUCCUCACACAUCACCCCAAAAUGGUCGAGCUGAGUGCAUUAUCCGUACUAUUAACAAUAUCAUGCGUUCUAUUAUGUUUCAGGCUAGCAUUCCUUCACCAUAUUGGGCUGAGGCUCUUAGUACAGCUACGUAUCUUCUAAACUUACAUCCAACUAAAACACUGAAUUUCUCCACUCCCUUUCUAGCUUUAUUCGGUGUUCCACCCACCUAUGAUCAUCUCCGUGUUUUCGGGUGCAAAUGUUAUCCCAAUCUUUCUGCCACUGCUCCCAACAACACAAAGGUUAUCGAUGCCUUGAUCUAGCCACAAACCGUGUCAUCAUCUCUCGCCAUGUUGUGUUUGACGAGUCCUCUUUUCCUUUCGCUGACCUUGGCUCAGCACCACCUUCAUCCCACUUUGAAUUUCUUGAUUUUGAUGAAACUAACGGGCCUCUUCUAGUCGGCCAUCCUUUUUUUUCAGGUACACCUACUGAUCCUUCCCAUGUUAGCCCCGCUGCCCCUGCCUCCCCGCAGGUUGUUGCAAGUGAGGUUAGCCCGGGCACGCCUGAUGCUGCCCUCGGUUCGUCCCAGAUUGUUACAAGCAUCGGGCACCCAUCCACUAUGCCGACUGGGACAUCAUCUAUGGCUCAUGAACCACCACCUGGCUUCUUCGAGCCACCUGCUGUUGUACCCCCUACUAGUGCGCCACAUACAGGCGCUGUUGCGCCUCCUGCUAGUGCCGCGCCACUCGCUGGUGCCAUCCCUAUGCCCCCUGCUGGUGCAGUGUCACCUGCUAGUGCCAUAUGUGUGCCACCUGCUGGUGCUAUUCUUGUCCCUCCCGUGGACAAUGCACAUUCAAUUCGCACCCGUGGCAAAGAUGGCUUUCGGCAGCCUAAAAAGGUGCUUGAUCUUCAGGUGUCAUCUCUGUCACCCAUACCGAAGACGUAUCGUGGUGCUCUCUCAGAUCCAAAUUGGCGUGACGCUAUGAUUGAGGAAUUCUCUGCUCUUCAAGCAAAUCACACUUGCGAUAUCGUGCCUCCUCCGCGUGGAGUCAAUAUUGUCUCUGGUAAAUGGGUCUAUCGCCAUAAGCUUCACCCAGAUGGCACUCUUGAUCGCUACAAGGCACGUUGGGUUCUUCGUGGUUUUACAUAACAACCUGGUAUUGUUUUUGGUGAGACUUUCAGUCCAGUUGUCAAACCAGCUACUAUUCGUACCGUGUUGUCGCUUGCUGUUUCACAGGACUAGGCUAUCCACCAGCUUGAUGUGAAGAAUGCAUUUCUCCACGGGACCCUAUCAGAGACAGUUUAUUGUGCUCAGCCUUCGGGAUUUGUGGACUCCUCUCGCUCGGAUUAUGUUUGUCGAUUGAACAAAUCUUUAUAUGGUUUGAAGCAGGCUCCGCGGGCUUGGUACAGUCGGUUUGCUACUUAUAUUCAAUCUCUAGGAUUCAUUGGUGCCUAGUGUGACACUUCUCUCUUUGUCUUCCGUCGUGGCUCUGACACUGUUUAUUUAUUAUUAUAUGUGGAUGAUAUUAUUCUUACUGCCUCUUCCACAACACUUCUUCACAAGGUUGUUGCCGCUCUCACUGCUGAAUUCUCUAUGAAGGACAUGGGACCAUUACAUAUUUGAAAAGUCAAGUAUGUUCAAUUCAUUCCUUAGCUUGCAAAACCUCUUCUCAUCAAGUGGCUUGCUGAAUAUAUCGGCAAGUUGAUCAUCUGUGCCUAUACUCUCAAUGCAAAUGUCCCCUUUUUGUUGAUGAUCUCUUAUGACAUGAUGGCGGACAUCUAUAUGCUUUGUUCUUGAGUGUUGAACCGGAUUGUUGGUGAGCUUCACGGCACUUUCAUUGUCACAUAGCAAUGGCACUUCUUUGAAAUUGAUUCCAAAAUCUUUCAAUGUUGCCUUCAUCCAUAGAAUUUGUGCACAACAACUACCGGCCGCAAUGUACUCCGCUUCGGCGGUUGAUAGUGCAACACUAUUUUGCUUCUUGGAUGACCAUGAGACAAGUGAUCUUCCCAAUAGUUGACAUGUGCCCGAUGUGCUUCUUCUCUCAACUUUGCAUCCCGCAUAGGCCGAGUCGGAAUAUCCAACAAGUUCAAACUUUGCACCUUUGGGAUACCACAAACCAACAUUUUGUGUAUGCUUCAAGUACCUCAAUAUUCUCUUUGUUGCUUUCAAAUGGCUUUCUCUUGGUGAGGCUUGGAAUCUUGCACACAUGCAUACACUAAACAUGACAUCCGGUCUUGAUGCGGUCACAUAGAGUAGGCUUCCAAUCAUAGACCGAUAUAACUUUUGAUCCACCAUAUUUCCACUUGUAUCACUAUCUAGGCUACCAUUUGUUCCCAUUGGAGUGCUAAUUGCCUUUGCAUCAUCCAUACCAAAUUUCUUGAGCAUGUCUUUUAUGUACUUGCCUUGACUCACAAAUGUGCCAUUCUUCAAUUGCUUGAUUUGAAGACCAAGGAAGUAGCUAAGCUCUCCAAUCAUUGACAUCUCAAACUCAUUAGCCAUCAUGUUGCCAAACUCUUCACAAAAUUCUUGGUUGGUUGAUCCAAAAAUGAAAUCAUCAACAUAUAUUUGCAACACAAACAAGUCCUUGCCAAUCUUCUUGGUGAAGAGAGUGGUGUCAACCUUGCCCAUCAUGAAACCUUUAGAGAGUAAGAAAUCUCUCAAUCUCUCAUACCAUGCUCUAGGUGCUUGCUUCAAACCAUACAAUGUCUUUCUUAGCUUGUAAACAUGGUUGGGUUUCUUGUCAUCCUCAAAACCGGGAGGUUGCUCAACAUAUACUUCUUCAUUGAUAUAACCAUUGAGAAAUGCACUUUUCACAUCCAUUUGAUAUAACUUGAUAUUAUGUGCACAAGCAUAGGCCAACAAGAUCCUAAUUGCUUCCAAUCUUGCAACCGGGGCAUAUGUUUCACCAAAGUCAAGACCUUCAACUUGAGUAUAGCCUUGUGCUACCAAUCUUGCUUUGUUCCUUACAACUAUCCCAUCUUGAUCUUGUUUGUUGCGAAAGACCCAUCUAGUACCAAUGACAUUGUGAUCACUAGGCCUCUCAACUAAUUCCCAUACUUGAUUUCUCUUGAAAUUGUUAAGCUCUUCAAGCAUAGCAUUGACCCAAUCAACAUCUCUCAAUGCUUCAUCAAUCUUCUUUGGCUCAAUGUGAGACACAAAGGAGAAAUGCUCACAAAAUGAUGCUAGUCUUGAUCUAGUUUGCACUCCUCUUUGAAUAUCACCAAUGAUAUGAUCCAAUGGAUGAUCUCUUGCAAUGUUUGUUGGUUGGAGUAUUUGCACUUGAUUGCUUGCACUUGGUUGAUCAUGAGAUGAUGUACUAGCUUGUUGAUCUUGCACUUGUGUACCACUUGUACUAGCUUGAUUUUGAUCAUGAGAACCACUAGCUUGCACAUUAGAGGUAGGAAGCACUUGAUCUUUGUCAUCUUCAACAUCAAUCACCUCUCUAGGCCUUAAAUCACCAAUAUCCAUAUUCUUCAUUCCAUCGGCCAAUUGAGUGCCUCUCACAUCAUCUAGAUUCUCUUCUUCCUCUUGAGAGCCAUUGGUUUCAUCAAACUCAACAUCAUGCACCUCCUCGAGAGUACCACUAGCAAAAUUCCAAACUCUAUAAGCUUUGCUAGUAGUGGAGUAACCAAGCAAGAAGCCUUCAUCACAUUUCUUUUCAAAUUUGCUUAAUCUAGUGCCUUUCUUCAAUAUAUAGCAUUUGCAACCAAAAACUCAAAAGUAUGCAAUGUUGGGCUUUCUUCCAUUCAAGAGCUCAUAUGGUGUCUUUUCCAUCAUUGGGUGACAAUAGAGUCGGUUGCUAUAGUAGCAAGUCGUGUUGAUUGCUUCGGCCCAAAAAGAAUGACUCACAUUGUAUUCACUCAACAUUGAUCUUGCCAUGUCAAUCAAGGUUCUAUUCUUCCUCUCAACAAGACCAUUUGAUUGUGGAGUGUACUUGGCCGAGAAUUGAUGCCUAAUGCCAAAUUCAUCACAAAGCUCAUCAACUCUAGUAUUCUUGAAUUCACUUCCAUUGUCACUUCUCACUUUCUUGAUGGUUGUUUCAAACUCAUUGUGUAUUCUCUUGACAAAUGAUUUGAAGGUUGCAAAAGCAUCACUCUUGUCACUAAGAAAGAAUACCCAUGUGUAUCUUGUGAAAUCAUCCACUAUCACAAAUCCAUAUUUAUUUCCACCAAUGCUUAUGUAUGUGGUUGGUCCAAACAAGUCCAUGUGCAACAACUCAAAUGCCUUGCAUGUACUCAUGAUGCUUUUCUUUGGAUGAGUGUUGCCAACUUGCUUUCCGGCUUGACAUGCACUACAAAGCUUGUCUUUCUCAAAUGUGACAUCUUUCAAGCCUCUAACAAGAUCAUGCUUGACUAGCUUGUUCAAUUGUUUCAUACCAACAUGACCAAGCCUUCUAUGCCAUAACCAACCCAUGCUAGAUUUAGUGAGCAAGCAUGUUGAUAAUUGAGCUUCACUAGCAUUGAAAUCAACCAAGUAUAGAUUCUCAUAUCUAAAGCCUUUGAAUAUCAAGUUUGAGCCAUCUACACUUAUGAUCUCUACAUCAUCAACUCCAAAUAUGCAUUUGAAACCAAGACCACAAAGUUGAGCUACGGAUAGUAGGUUGAAGUUCAAGCUCUCUACUAGUAGCACAUUGGAAAUGCUCAAGUCAUUGGAUAUAGCAAUUUUACCAAGCCCUUUGACCUUGCCUUUGCCAUUGUCACCAAAUGUGAUACUAUCCACACCAUUGUCAUCAUUUGGAUUGAUUGAAUUGAACAUUCUUGCGUCACCGGUCAUGUGUUGUGUGCACCCACUAUCAAACACCCAAUGCCUUCCUCCGGCUUUAUAGUUUACCUACAAAACAAAUCAAUGUUUCUUAGGUACCCAUACUUGUUUGGGUCCUUGGAGGUUAGUGACUAAGCUUUUUGGUACCCAAAUGGCCUUCUUCCUUGGACCCACAAUUGGCGUACCAACAAACUUAGCAUGCACACCCUUCUCACCCUUGGUAAGCACAUAACAAGAAUCAAAUGGAAUGUAAGGUACAUUAGCAAUUUUCUUGUUCUUGUUAAUUUUAUUGCAAUUAAGCUCUAGGUGCCCAACUUGCUUGCAUUUGUUGCAAUACCGACCAUUGCUCUUCACAAAGCUAGGCUUGUGAGUUGCAAAGGCUUUCUUGCCCUUCUUGGGGGUAUAGCCUAAUCCCUCUUUGUUGAGAGAAAACCUUUGGCUACCCAAGCACUUUAGCAAGCGGGUCUCACCACCAUAGGCUUUGCCUAGGGCGUGAGUGAGUUCAUCCACCUCUCUCUUAAGGGUCUCAUUCUCAACCUUUAGUGAGGUAUCACAAGUGACACUAGCACUAGAAGUAGAGGUAGAGUUGGUGGUGGUGGAUGAAGACCUACAAGAAGAGUUAGUGGCAACAACAAUAGGUAGGUUGGGUGAUUCUUUAAUUAAGUCACAUGUUGUGUCCACAUCACAUGAUACAACAACCUUUUUCUUGUUCUCUUCUAACAACAAGGAGUGAGCUUUCUCAAGCUUGGUGUGAGCCUUGCCAAGCUUCUCAUGGGCUUCCACUACAUGAUUAGCAUUGAGCUCAUCAAUGGAUUGCUCAAGAGCUUUUAACUUCUUGGCCAAUUCUUUGCACUUCUUGUUUUUAGAUUGAAUGAGAGAAUCAGCUUGUUCUAACAUGUCCAUGAGUUGUUCAUUAGUGAAUUCAUUUUCAUCAUCACUAUCACUAUCAUGUUCAUGUUCACUUUCACUUUCACUCUCAUCAUAUUGUACCUUGUGGCCCUUGGCCAUGAAGCAUGAAGGAGUGUCGAAGAGUGAUGGCUUGUUGUUGACAGCAAUGCUUGCAAGCGCCUUCUUCUUGGAUGCCUUGUCAUCAUCACUAGAAUCAUCAUCCGAAGAAGCAUCACUAUCCCAUGUCACAACAUAGGAUCCACCCUUCUUCUUCUUCUUGAAGACCAUCUUCUUCUCUUUCUUUUCUUUCUUCUCCUUCUUGUUCUUCUUGCCAUGCUCAUCAUUGUCACUAUUGUAAGGACAAUCCGCCACAAUGUGAUCGGGGCUCUUGCACUUGUAGCAUAGCCUCACAUGCUCUUUGUUCUUGAAGUGAUCUCUUCUCUUUCUUGUGUGAUAGCCCUUCUUCUUCAUCAUCUUGCCAAAUUUGCGGACAAAGAGUGCUAGUGCUUCAUCAUCACUAUCAUCAUUGGAGCACUCCUCAUCACUUGAUUCUUCCUUCUUGGCUUUGCCCUUGUUCUUGCUCUUGGAUGAAGAGCUAGCUUUGAAUGCUACACUCUUCUUCUUCUUGUCAUCAUCAUCCUUCUUCAUGACCUCAUCAUCAUCAUUGUCAUUGUAUUGAUCUUCGGUCAUGACAUCUCCAAGUACCUCAUUGGGAGAUACACUGGUCAAUCCACCUCUAAAGAUGAUUGUUCUUAAUGUCUUGAACCUCUUGGGCAAGCACAUCAAGAACUUGUGAAUGAAGUCCUCAUCCUUCACUUUCUCACCAAGGCCUUUGAGAUCAUUGAUGAUGACUUGGAGCCUAUAGAACAUCUCCGGUAUUGAUUCAUCAUCCUUCAUCUUGAAGUUUGAAAGCUUGUCCUUGAGCAUGUACAACUUGGCACUUUUUACUGUUGUAGUGCCCUCAUAUGUUUCUUCAAGUCUUGUCCAUACUUCACUAGCCUUCUCAAGAUCUUUGACUUGUUCAAAUACUUUUGAAUCAAUGCCAUUGUAUAUUGUGUUGAGAGCCAUAGUAUUGCAUUGCUUGUUUGCUCUCUCAUUGUCAGUGGGGUUAGCCGGAUCAAGAAUCACAAAGUUAUUUUCGGUGACUUCCCACACUCUAUCAUUUAUUGAUCCAAGAUACAUUUUCAUCUUUCUCUUCCAAUAGUCAAAAGAACUUGUGCCAUCAAAGAACGGUGGUUUGCCCCCAACAUGGUUGAACACUAUUUGAGCCAUAAUUUGAGCACCGAGAUUGUUAAGCCUUUACAAAACGGUGACCACGGCUCUGAUACCACUUGAAAGGUCCUAAUAUGGCUAGAGGGGGGGGGUGAAUAGCCUAUUUAAAAAAUCUACAAACUCGCUAGAGCAAGAGGUUAGUAAAUAACAAAGCGAAGCUUUUUGCUCUAGCUCUAAAAGGGUGUUUGCAAGCCACCUAUCCAACAAUUCUAGUUGCUACAAUCACUAGGCACACAAGAGCUAUGUCACUACUUACACUAGAAAGCUACCUAAAGUUUCUAUACAAGUAAGUAAGCUACUCUAGUUUGCGGGAAUGUAAAAGAGAGGAUGAGGUAUUUAUACCACCGAGUAGGGGAUGAACCAAUCACCAAUAUAAACAACCAAGCACCGGGAGAAUGCCAAUCAAACACAAUUGAGACACCAAUUUUUCUCCCGAGGUUCACGUGCUUGCCAGCACGCUACGUCCCCAUUGUGUCGACCAACACUUGGUGGUUCGGUGGCUAAGAGGUGUAGCACGGACCUCGUCCUCACUAGGACACCACAAGAACCUACCCACAAGUGAGGUAACUCAAUGACACGAGCACUUUACUAGAGUUACCUUUCGGCUCUCCGCCGGGGAAGGUACAAGACCCCUCACAAUCACCGGGAGAUGGCCACGAACAAUCACCAACUCGUGCCAAUGCUCCUCCGCUGCUCCAAGCCGUCUAGGUGGCGGCAACCACCAAGAGUAACAAGAAAACCGCAGCUAGAACGAUCCCCAAGUGCCACUAGAUGCAAUCACUCAAGCAAAUGCACUUGGAAUCACUCCCAAUCUCAUAAAGAUGUAUAAUCUAUGAAGGAGAUGAGUGGGAGGUGUUUGCUUAGGCUCACAAGGAUGUCAAGUAUGUUAGAAUGCCAAGAGAGUGAGUCCCAAGCCGGCCAACACGUAUUUAUAGCCCCUCAAACAAAUAGAGCCAUUGGCUCUUUCACUAGGCAAAACACGGGGUCACCAGACGCUCUUAAAGGGGCACCGGACGCUCAACACCUGCGUCCGGUGCUCCAAAGUCAGCCGCGUGUCAGAAUCUAACGGUAACCUGCAGAGCACCGGACGCUGAGCAGGUUGGCACCGGACGCGUCCGAUGCACACCGGACCCUUGCGCAGAGAGCUCCGCAAACUCGCAGAGUCACCAGACGCGAGCCACCGGACGCACCCUGAGCGUCCAGUGCUCACCGGACUCAUGCGCAGAGAGGGUCGCCAAACCACCCGCACACCGGACGCUAACCACCGGACUCACUCCGGUGCGUCCAGUGCACACCUGCGCCACUGACACCACACCGGACGCUUUGGACCAGCGUCCGGUGCUGCCAACACCAGCGUCCACUCCCGCAACUUCUCCAAAAUUCCCACCGGCGCAAUAGAAAAUAUACACUUAAUUUUCUCAAAAGCGUCGAAUCCCGCCGAGCUUGCGAACACCACGACGUGUGUACCAACAAGUGCACGUGUGUUAGCAUUUUCACAAUCAUUUUUUUCGAAGGAGUUAAGUUAGCUCACUAGGUUCUAAAUGCAUGCACAUGAACAAUGACACCUAGUGGCACUCGAUAACUGUUUAGCCAAAGAAUUCCCCUCUUUAUAGUACGGCUAUCUAUCCUAAAUGUGAUCACACCCUCUAUGGUGUCUUGAUCACCAAAACCAAAACCCUAAGCAAUACCUUUGCCUUGAUCUCUAUAGGGUUUUGUUUUUCUCUUUCUUCUUUUCCAAGUUGAGCACUUGAUCAUCUUGUGGUUAUCACCAUCAACACCAUGAUCAUUACUUGCUCCAUCACUUGGCAUGUACCAACCUCAUUAAGUCUACACACACUUAGCAUAGAGGUUAGUACUAGGGUUUCAUCAAUUAUCCAAAACCAAACUAGGGCUUUCAGCAGUCCAACAGGUCUGUUUGUUCAUGCACGAUCUGCGAGAGCCACAUCUAGCCUUGAUCAAGCGCAUUUUGCGCUAUAUCAAAGGUACUCUCAAUUACGGACUUCGGAUUGAUCGUUCUCCUUCAGCUGAUCUUGUGGCUUACUCUGAUGCUGACUGGGCUGGUUGUCCUGAGACUCGACGCUCCACUUCAGGCUACGCCAUUUUUCUGGGUAAUAAUCUUGUCUCUUGGUCCUCCAAACGUCAAGUAACAGUGUCUCGAUCUAGUGCUGAGGCUGAGUAUCGGGCUGUUGCUAAUGCUGUAGCUGAGACUACAUGGUUGCACCAAUUGCUGGGGGAGCUUCAUCAUCCAGUUCGGCAUGCUACAAUUAUCUAUUGUGACAACAUCAGUGUCGUCUAUCUCUCUUCCAAUCCGGUGCAGCAUCAGCGCACGAAGCAUAUUGAAAUUGAUCUACAUUUCGUCCGUGACAAGGUUGCCACUGGAGCCAUCCGCGUUCUUCACGUGUCAAUGUCUUCUCAAUACGCCGACAUCUUCACAAAGGGACUGCCUUUCUCCAUCUUCACCGAGUUUCGCUCCCGUUUGAACGUCUGUCCUAAUGGCUAGUUACGACGAUCAACCUGCGGGGGGAUGUUAGACUAUAAUUAAACGUGACAUAUGAAGAGUCACGGUGCUGGCCUGUCUCCUGACCUCCCCGGUGCUUAUUCCCAUAAACUAGUUGCUUGUUCCCAUUAGCUAGUUGUUAAGAUAAGGAGGGGCUUGGCCUAUAUAUGUAACCUUUUGAUAAAUCAAUUAACAUAGCGUGUAUUGCAUCUUGCUUCUAUCGCUUUCAUGGUAUCAUCAAGCGGUACGCUCCUGCGACCGUCCCUUCCGCUUCUCUGAUAAUCGCCGCCGGCCUCUCGCCGUGCGUGCGUCUCUCCCACCUCCGUCUCUCUUGCCAAGGCCUCUGCUUCCCAGGGACCAUCCCAUGCCGUGGCCCUGGAAACAGCUGCCAUCGCAGCGGCGUGUGCUGAUCUCGCUCGUCUUCAGGCUGCCCGGGCGGACGCGACCCUCCUCCAAGCUGCCGAGGACGCCAUCACACGCCUGGAGGCUAUCCGUGCCCGGGCGCAGCUCGACGACGACUUGCGAUCCACCCACGCCGCGGCCGCCCAGGCGUAUGCGGCAGCCCAGGCGCAUGCUGGCACCAUCGCGCUCUACGCCCAGGCGGUGGCUGUCUCCAACAUCAAGCUUGUGAUCCCCAUCGUCCUCAAUCUGGCCUCAACACACUAUACCAAGUGGAAGGCUCUCUUUCUCAAUACUCUUGGCAAAUAUGAGCUGACCAACCACGUCUUGGCUGAGAUCGACGCUGACACUGCCACGGAUCCAUAUUGGGUACGUAUGGACUGCACGGUGAAAUCCUGGAUUUUCAGCACCAUCACGCCGGAACUGAUGGAGGUUGUUCACACCGGCACGCCGUCUGCGCGCGAGUUGUGGCAGAACAUUGAGGAACAAUUCGUUGGCAAUCAGGAGACACGCGUCCUCAUACUCGACAGCCAGUUUUGCAACUUUGUACAGGGCAACCUCACCGUCACCGAGUAUUACCGCAAACUCAAGAGUAUGGCAGAUGGCUUGGCCGAUCUCGGGCAUCCAGUGGAGGAUCGCACCCUCGUUCUCUCCGUUCUUCGCGGUUUGAACGAGCGCUUCGAGUACAUGGCCGCUCUCAUCAAACGCCAGCGCCCGUUCCCCUCAUUCGUCAUUGUGCGCUCUGAUCUAGAGCUGGAGGAGAUGAACAUGCUGUCCAAGGCGCCUCCGCAGCUGGACCUAUGUCAUUUUCUAAGCCAUCUUAAUUCUUCAAGUCAAACCACCAUUAUUAUUCACCUAUUGGGAACCAUGCCAUUAUAAUUUGAAGCAGCUGGACCUAUGUCAUUUUCUAAGCCAGACGUUAGAUCCACUUGUAGUGCAUUGUACUUUAGUACUACAGACAAAAAAGCCCCAGCUACCUCUGUCUUCUUCCACUCACUGACGCGUGGGUCCUACAGAUCAGCUCCUUCAAUCUCUAGCUGCUCCCUUCUUCAAUCCCUGCCCUCCUCUCCCGUGCCGACGGCCAGUGAUCUUCAAUGGUGAGUAUAAUGUUCCACGCGAAAAUGCUUCCAUUUCUCUGUUGAUGUGCAGCGGCCGUCCAUUGAGACCAUCCCUAUUUCGCUCCGCAAACUCAGAAGCUACCGUGACGGCGACCUCGGCUCUCACGCGGGCGGUAGCGAGGCGCGGACAGGUCCGUGGAGCAGAGGCAAGGUAGCGCCGGUACUAUCUCUGCUGGAUGCUAAGCGUGCACGGGCGCGGGUCUGGGUGCCUGCGGUGGCAUAGUUGCGGGCGACGGCAUAGCCGUAGACUCGUGCGUCACGGCACAUUCAUCGUCGGCAGCACCCAGGAGCUGGACGCGCACGUCUGGCCGAUGGCCAUGGUUGCGCGCCGCAGCCAGCGAGCCCACGUCCAGCUGCGGCGGCGCCAAAUCCUCGACCGCUGGGCUCGCCGAGCUCCGGUGAGGGGUCUUAUGGCGUGGGCGCGGAGUUUGGGUCGGGGGCGCACGCGCGGGUCGGUGACCAAGAGCGAUGCAUGCGGGGGAGCAGGCCAGCAGGGUCAGAGACCGAAUGAACAAAACCGCAACGGCAAGCGCGCGCAUGCCUUAUCUCCUCCUUUCAUUCGCGCUUUAAGAUUUGGAUUGGUCAACCCACGCUCCCAACCCAUUCCCUUUCCCUGCUUUUGCGCAUUCCCGUCCUUUUGGUGUUCUAGUGCUCCCGCCCUCCACACGCAGACCCAUGUUGGAAUCCCCUCCGUCACCCUUUGUUGUUUUUUUUCAGUUUUUGCGCCAGUUUGUACUUUGUACUUCUCUCAGUGGCAACCUCUAAUUAAAAAAAAAUCUCAUCAGUCAUUUUCUGAGUUUCCAUUUCUCCCAUACCUUUUCUUUUUUAUAUUCCGACUAAUUGCCUCCCAAAUUACAUCUUUUUUUUGUUUCCUCCCAUUUUUUGCGAGAUCGUUAUCAUGUCAAUCAUGGCCCUUAUGUUGUACAGCUCUAUUUUUUUCCUUAAAACACUUUUUUAUGAUUACUCUAAUUUUUUCUUUAGAUCAUGUUGUUAGCAUCUUUCAUCACAGUUUAUUAUUUUAUUAUAAUGCUAAGAUGCUUUUUGUUAACUUGCCACACCACCAUUAAACACUUUAUUUUAUUAUUCAAGUUUGUACAGAUCUAUUUUCUCAAAAAAAAACCCCCCCUCUUUCAUGUUUUUAUGAUUACUCUCAAGUGGAAAUCAAACUCAGUAGGAUGGCAAAACUUUUGGUCAGCCGCACCCCACAAUAGAAUUAUAAAGAGUUAUGAUUAUUUAUGAUUAUUUAAACUUGAAAUGCUCUGACUCUAUAAUGAAUUGCUUUGUACCCAUUUGUUGAACAAACAUAUAUUCCGAAAAUCAUUAAAAAUACAUGGCAUUUCUCUUCUUUGUAUUUGUUACUUGCUUCAUCAAAGCUAGAUUGACAGACAUUAUCUGCAAAACUUGGCUCAUCAUUUAUUGGACCGGUACAGAAUUUGCACCUAAGCCAUUAGCUUGCUCCAUGCCAAAAUUUGGAAGGAAAACCAAAAUAAUUAUAUAAUUUGGAAGGCAUGGAGUAGAACAUUAAGAAAUAAAUUCAAUAAUCAGCAUUCUAUCAGUAGAAAUUCUAGGAGUCGGGAGGAACUCCAUAGCAAACAAAUUGCAAUAGCCACAUAAAGAAAACUUGGUAUGCGAUACAAUUUUGGCACUCUGGAACAAACCUCAAUGCGGUGUCCUAAAAAGCCAUUCAAGCUUGAAAGAUGGUCACAAUAGCAAAAAAACCACAUCAUGGAAAGAAUUCAUUGGAUACUCAUAUACUAGCUUCUCCAAUAUAAAUAGUGCUACUGUGUUACAUUUUUUUGAACGAACAAGCAUGAGACAGUGCUUAUUUCAUUGAUAGAGAAGGAAGACACUUGUUCUCAAAAGGCUUGCCUUAGUGAUAUUCGUAGAGUACUUACACUGUUAGUAACACAAAAUAUCUGGACUUGAAAGAGAUUACAAUGAAGUGAACAUUGUUAAACCAAAGGGCUAUUACUAAUACAACUCUAAAGUAAUAAAAUAGAAACAUAAGGCGGGUAUAAGAGCAAAUGAGUAUGAAGACUUCACAUUAUCACAUUAGGUGAGUAGGAUUAAAUUGUUUCAAUUAAAACUACAUCUGAAUAAAACAAAAAAAAAAUAUGACUAGUGUCAAGUGGUAGAUAACAAAAAAUUGAGAAGUUAAGCGCCAACACAAGCUUAUAAUAGCAGAGGUUGGCAAGAACAAAAACUUAUAAAUUUGUCAGGCCUAAGAAUAUUAUAUUUCAUCACUUAAUCAUGUUCUAGGAGCAUCUAGGAUCUGAGGAGGUGUUGAACAGCAUGAAUCUUGGAGUAGCCACAACCAGAGGAUAGGGAGCAUACCAUUCUGGUAAACUAAAGGGCACUAAGUACCAAUAAAUGGAUCAGCAUGAAGGAACGACAGAAUGUCUAGUACCUCAUCAGAACUGAUCAUCAGCUUACCUGUGCUAAGAUGAAUUCUAGAGGCAAUAAUAGAUCAAACAGACAUUCAGUCAUGAAUUUAUUUUGUUUGAAAUGUAUCGAAGAAAAAGAAAAUUUUGUUUGCCGGAUAAAUAAAAUUAAUUUUUUUAUACUUAAAUUAAUACCUACUCACAUAUAUAUCCGCAUGGUUAUGUCAACAAAGGCAAGGCAGAGCACCCAUGUGCAGUUAGAAAUGCUUAUAGUUUUAUACUACUCAGAUCGCAUCUGAAUUCAAUGGAUAAGCUACCAGUGUAGUUACCGAUUUAUUGUUUGAUUCUUGAAGUUCACCAACAAUCAAAAUCAUGUCCAAUAUGAAGUACGUCUGCAAAUCCAGAAAGAAAAAAAAAGAGUGAGGAGGUCAAAGUUCUUUGGUACUGUAGCAAAUAUAUGGUCGGAAGAAAGAGACACGCCUAUAUAUCAAAGUUUUCGCACCUUAUGAAAAUUGAAUAUCAGACCAAGCUCACAGACCUGCAUAUCUGGAAAAUGAUUCUUAGAACUGGAGUAGUUAAGCAAGGAACUAAUUAAUUGUUAUUACCAUUUCAAUAAGAGGAACUCGGUUGGAUGUGACUGUAUGAGUAUGAGGCUGAGUGACCUAUGUACGAUGGACUAACUAAUUGUGCUGGCAUGGCUAUAAACAAUUAUAAAUAAAAGGUGCUGCAUAAACAAAAGCUAGUUUUGACUCUUAUGUGCCACAAAGCUGAAGUGCACUGUGAAGAUGGCACAUUCAUAAUACACCUAAUGAGCUCAUUAACCUCGAGGUAACAGAUUUAUUGGUAUAUAUGUUGGAGCUCCAACAUACCAAUAAAUCUGUUACUCUAUCCGUUAUGCAUUAUUGAAGGCAAACAAAUAAUGAUUAAAUAUUUGCUGGUCCAAUGGCGCUUUUUGCCGGCAUUAGCCAACAAAUUUACUAAAUAGUUUAGAGUUGGACUUUUACAAAAGUGCAAAUAGAUCACAUCCAAAAAUUCACAAAAAGUGUCAACAAAUGAGGACACCAACACACUAGCCGGAACAUUAGCCAGCAUUCGGAUGGAUCAAGAAACGCGAGGGAAAAUAUGAGAAAAGGGGAGAAAAAUUGGAGGCUACCAGCAGUAGGACACCAUAAUAAUAUUGAACUUGAAAACUAAAUCGGACUAGAUAACAGAUCAACAAGAUGAGAGUGAGAUAGCUUUUAGAAGAACCAUUGGCACUAUAUCCGAAACAUCUGAGAACAGACAUAAAACAAACAUAUCUUAAAAACAAAAUUAUGAAGGAAACCAAAAACAACAUGGGGGCUUGGGGACACAUAAGAGCAGUUUGUGCCUAUACAUCUAAAAAGGAAGCAUAGGAUGAAUUAAUGCCAUGCUAGAUCUAUCAAAAUAGCAGAUAUAUGAAACACAUUAGACAGAUAGACAGCUUGAUUCUGGCCGCAAAUAGUCAAAUGCAAAAGGUAGCAUGUCAUGCAAAGUGAGGACAACGUAACAUAACCAACUGCGCAAAGGCGAGUACGAAGAUAUGAAAAAUUGAAAACUAAAACAAGUAUUCAAUUUACUAAUGGACUGACCAGAUCCAAGUAGCCCUUGAAGAAUGUCAGGAUUCAAACUGCUUGGAAACAAGAAAGCUGCAGUAACAAAAAUCACAUCAGUGCUAAAUAAUGUACCAUAUCAAUAUACAGAUAGACAGAGAAUAGACAAAUUUGGAUCUAGUUUUUUUUCCUGAAGGACACAAUUACAAUAGGAGGGUUCAUGAAGUAGCAUACCUAUACCUACAACAAUAGGAGGCCUUCAAUAACCCGUUGUGAGCCCUAUUGCCAUGAUAUACAUUAAUUUGCACAUAUAAAGGUAACUGCAAGAAUUUGGCAUUCAUAUUGAGCAUGGAAUUUCAAAGCUUUACAACAACGAUAAAAUUAUUGACUUUACAAACUAAUCAUAUUAUGGUUAAAUAGAAAAAACAAAAAGCUUGAUUAAUUUAUCGAUAGCUAUUUUACAGAACAAUAAUUAUUGGAUAAAGAAAUCAACAUGGUAGAUGAAAUUCAAUUUUAAAAAUAAACCUUGAAGACAUUUGUCUGAAUUCACUAUGAUUGGGCUCAAAUCGGCAAUGAACUAAAAUCACUAUUGAGAAAUUAAACCAAAAUGCUGAAAGUACCCAGAAACAAACCUUGAAGACUUGCUAUAUGUAGAAUAGAGUACAAAAUUACGAGUGUACCUAAACCUAAUGUAAGGUAAAGUCUUACGAUAAAAAGCUAGAAUGCUUAGUUUGAACAAGAUAAGAUUAAAGGAGUUUUAUAAACUAAUUGUACUCUCAUGGAAGAACACAUUGUUAAAUUGGAUGACUGUAAAUUUGCGCCAUGAGGUCAUUAAAUAGAAUAUUGAUAUGAUCUUGUUCUUGGAGCUUAAGGCCAUAGACAGAAAUUACAAUAGCAUGAAAAGACAUCAAGGUGAAAAAGAACAACAACACAAUAAAACAUAAGGGUUUGUUUGGUAGUAAGAAGAAUAGCACUAGAAGACUAUAAGUAACCAGUCCCUCACAAGAAUAAAAAUCCAGCAUUAACAUGGAAUCAAUUAGCACAACAAAUAACUAGUUAUAAAUAUGUUUGAAAAUAGGAAAACAUUAAAAAUUGUGACAAAUAGUGGCCUCUGAACCAGUCCUCUACGUUCAUAUGAUCUUGUUUUUGGAGCUUAAGGGCCAUAGACAGAAAUUGCAAUAGUAUGAAAAGGCAUCAAGGUGAAAAAGGAAAACAAGUGGACAAGAAAGAGAUGGGUGAAGAUGAGGGGUUGACCAGCGCGAAUCUUGUAGAAGCUGCAGCUGGAGGAUAAGGCACGCACGCGCAUGCCAUUCUGGAAAACCCAGGUUGCCAUCCGAAUGGACAAGGCCACAACAGGUCUGUUUUGUAGUAAGAACAGCACUAGAAAAUUUGAAGUACCCAGUCCCUCACUAGAACAAGAUCACUUUUUUCAUCACUAAAUUAGGAAUUUUUCAUCAUUGGCCACUUACCUGAUGAAGAAACAAAAAUUUCAAACAAAAAAAUCAAAUUAAUUUAAAUGCCAUAAUGAGCAAAGAUGUCUAAGAACAAUUACGGAAUGUGGACAUAGAUCUAUUGUGAAAACAAUUACGGAAUGUGAACAUAGAUCUAUUGUGAGAACUCUUCUCCUAUUUGUUAGUUCGAAUAUAUUGUCCUACUGGUAGAUCAAGAAUUUGUAUUGCAUAUUUUAAUAUGCUUCAGAUCAAGCUUCUUAUGUUGCCCAAAACACGCUUCAGGUCAUGUGCCAUCUCUUAAAUGCAGUGAAUUAGUAUUAAACCAAAACAUUUGAAGGAUGUGCAUAGAUUGAUCACAAGCAUUAAAGGAUGGGAAAUAAAAAACUCACGAUGGGGUCUACAGGACACUCUAGCAUAAAAAUCUUGUAUGUGAAAACUAUCGCUAUUAACACUAGUAGUCCAUAUCCGGCAGCUUUCUAAUCAUUUAAAAAAGGAAAACUUGUUAAGAAAGUGGUGUGGUUGUAGUAUGAGUAUUAAUAUCAAAAUAGAAUGCGGUUAAGAAUAUAUGUGUAUGUAAAAAUAAUAUGAUAUAGAUCAGUAUAGGUACAUUGGAAAAUAGAAAUUAGAAAAAAGGAUAGACACAUACCAUAUUCAUAAUGACUCAGUAGAGUUCUUCAAAAGGCUAAAUAAGAAAAUAUUAAGACACAUAAUUAGUGCAGAAGGUUAAUAUGCUGUUGAUGCAAUAACAUGCUAUUGACUUGCAUAGUAGGUAAUGAGCUAUAGCAAAUAUAUUAAAAGAAGAUAAAAAUUCCUAAUAUAAAUAGUGUAUCAAACCAUCUAGAAACCUGCAAAUAAAACAGCCUAACCAUGCUGCAGCAUAGAAUUUUGCAUGUAGCAGGCUACAUAAUAAUGGCUGAAUGGAUCAUUUAAUGGGAUAGUUUUGCAUCCUACGUAGCACUAUAUCUAAAAGGUCAUAUUGUGUAACCAAAUAUCCACAUUAGCUUACUAAAUCAGCAAAAAAAUUAUAUCCUAGAUGCAUAAGCAUGUUGCAGCAUAGAGAGUGAAUUGUAGGCACAAUGAGCAGAAAGUAAAUAUGCACUUUACCUCCAGCACAUGAAACAUACAUAGCUAAAUAUUAGGAAUAUCAUUAAGCAGACUUAGUGAGAGUGAAUUUUUGAGAUGCAAUAUAUCUCAUGACAAACAUUAUCUGAUAUGGAUUCAUAUCGUAUAAUAUUUGAAUGUGGGGAGGAAUAAUCUUAGAAGAGUUGAUGGUGUGCAGGUGAGAUACCUUUUAUAUAACAGAAUCAAGCAUAUAUGAAACCUAAAGGCCACUUAGCGAAGAAACAAUUAAAUUUCUCACACCUAAAACUCGAUUUUUUUAUAAAAAUAAGCACACAAUUAAUCCGAUGGAUAAAGUAGUUCAAAGGUUGAUAAAAAUAUUGAAUCACCUAAAUCUAGAUCUAUAGGACGAAAAACAAACUGCAGGAGAUAUAGAAAGAAUUGGAAAAAAAUAAAUUACAGAAUAAUCGAGUAAUUACAGAUAGAUGAAAGAUCUGUCGAUGCUUGAGGCAACGGUACUCUUCAAGAUUGAUAAAAACAUUGAGUAAUCUAAAAUUAGAUCUAUAGAUAAAAUAAAUCGCAGAAGAUAUAAAAAAAUUGAAGAAACAAAAAUUAAUAUAGCAGAAUCUAAUAGACUCAAAUGAAAGAUCUAUGGAUAGGCUAAGGUAUGAAUAUAUCUAGAACUGAAGAUACACAGUAGAAUUGAAGAAACAAAACUUUCAAUCAGUUGCAGACGCAGAGAGAGAGGGGGGAGAGAGUAAGGGAGAGACAGAGAGGGAGGAAGGAGACAGAGGUAGAAGACGACUCAAAGAGGAGAGUGAGAGAGGGAGAGGCCUCAGGAGAGACAGAGAUAGAUUGAGAUAGAGAGGGAGAGGGAGAGAUGGAGAGAGGAAGGGAGAGGGGGGAGAGAGAUGGAGGGAGACGGAGGUAGAGGGAGAGACGGAGAUACAGAGAGAGAUGCGGCAGAGGUUGAAGAAGGCUCGGGGAGGAGAUAGAUGGGGAGCGAAGAAGAUGGUAAUGGAUUGGGGGGAAAGGAAAGUGGAGGAAGGAAUGCAUAUAAGGUUUAGGAAAGACGGGGAAAAGAAAAAGGGUUGACCAGCACAAAUCUUGGAGAAGCUGCAGCCGGAGGAUAAGGCAUGCGCACGCAUGCCAUUGUGGAAAUACCGGGUUGGGUCGGAGACCAACAUUGGCAUUAGCAGGAGCUGGACCAUAGCUGCCAUUGGAGAGGAGGGGAUCGAAGAAGGCGCUAGCUGCGCCGCAGCCGCGCGUCAUCCCCGCCGGCGACGGCUACGGCGCAUCGCGACCUGUCCCUUCGGUUGGCCGCCGGCGAAGAUACCCCUGGUGCGUCUUCCCUCCUGCUAUUCCGCGCGUGCUCUGUGUGCUCUAGGAAACCCUAGGUGACUCCAUCUCCUGAUGUGGAAAUACUAAGGGACCUGUUUGGCACAGCUCACAACAGCUUCACGAGGUGUUGUGAGCUGUUUUUUUUUACCAAACAUUUAUUUUCAAAAUAGUUUCAUGAGUGAAGCUGUUUUUCUCCCCCUCUCACAAAGAUACAAGUUGGAUGAAGCUGAAAAAAAGUAGCUUGUCCCAGCUUCACCUGCCGCUUUGUGGGCCCAUCCUGUGUAAAGACGAGCUCUGCCCAUGCUCUAGUGCUCAAUCAGCCGCGCGACGACCGCCGCCGAUGCCGAGGCCAGUCAGUGCCACCGCGGGCGCCGGGCCAGCGAGCGCCGCCACGACAAACGAGCGCGCUCGGCUGCCGGACCCGAAGAGGAAUGUGCACGGCCGCUCGAGCUCGUGGGCAUCGCCGGGCGCGGCUGCUCGAUCUCGAGGCCAGGAGGCGCAUCCAGUGUCAGUCUUGCAAGGUGCGGUCGCUCAAUCUCGCGGCCAUGGCCGGAAGGGCAAGCGCGGCCACCGAGGCGCGGGCAGCCUUGGCCGCCAGGGCUGCCGCGGGCACGUCCGUCGGGGUGUGGGCUGCCGCGGCGCGCGUGAGCACGGCCGCCGGGGGCGUGUCCGCCACAGUCGCUGGGGCGUGCGCGAGCACGGCCGCCAGGGGCGCCGGUCACAACUUGCAACUCGUUGAUCUGAGGGGAUUGGAUGGCUCGGCCUUGUCGCUCAGGUGUGGAAGAGGCCAGGACCAGUGUGGGUGCAGCUGCUGCUGGCGCAGUCAUCAAGGACUGGCGUGGGCUCACAUGCGAGCUGCAUUGGAAGGCGAGGAAGAUGACGGGAAAAUAGAAGAAAGAGGGGGGAAAUAGAAAAAAAGAAAAGCAAUGGGUAGGACAGUCAUUUUAUUGUUGGAUCUACGAUGUGAAGCUAUUUUGCCAAACAUCUUUUGCAAAAUAGCUUAGCUUCAUCAAAUAAGCUGUUUAUAAAGCUGUUUUUAUAAAAAAUAGCUUUACUAGUGAAGCUGAGCUAUGCCAAACACAGCCAAGAAAACAAUACGGUAACUUCAUCUUGUUUCAUUAAUGAUUUUUCAGUAACAUCGUAUGAAUAAACAUCUUUUCAACCAUUAACCUUCUUUUGACAUCUAGGCUCCCGCAGGGGAAAGGGAUAUAUUUUAAUUGAGAAAAAAGUAAUUACGUCUACUUCCUCUAAUUCAUUGUUGGGCUCUAAAAAUAAUUUAAAGCGUUGACCAUUUACCUUGAAUAACAUACCUUCGUUGUUGCGAAGUGUGACGGCUCCAUGCGACGAUGAGCUCACCACCUCGAAUGGCCCUUCCCAUUUGCUUCAAAGUUUUCCAUGCCCAAAGAGCUUCACCCUGGAAUUGAAAAGUAAUACCUUAUCGCCUAGGGUGAACUCUUCUUCUUGAUCCUUUUGUCAUGUCAUCCUUUUACUCUCUCUUUAUAAAUCUUGGCAUUGUGAUAUGCUUUUUCUCUCCACUCUUCUAGCUCAGAGAGUUGCAUCUUCCUCUUGUCUCUAGCUGCUUCCAAAUCCAUGUUCCAUCUUUUGAUAGUCCAGUGAGCUUUGAAUUCUAGCUCCACUAGUAAGUGAUAAGUUUUUCCAUAGACAAGUUGAUAGGGUGGCAUCCCGAUGGGUGUCUUGUAUGUUGUCUGGUAUGUCUAGAGUGCAUCAUGAAGCUUAUCCUUCCAAACUAUCCCCAUCUCAUUGUAACACCCAAAAAUUUAUUUUCAAUUAAUAGGAUUUAAUUUGAUUUAUUUAAGUACUUUUAUGAGCAUUUAAAUUAGUAAAUAAAUAAAUUUUAUUGAAAUUAAAAUCCAACAUAGGGCUAGAAACUUGUUUAGGCAUUCAUGCUAGAGCAUAUUUAAUUUUGUGCUGUGUAUCUUUGUUUAAAGUUUAAAGGAAUUCAAAUCUCUUUUGAAAAUGGCUUUGAAAUAAGAAAAAAUAAAAAAAAGAAAGAAGAAGGAACUCCCCAGCUCAGCGCCAGCCCAGCACUUGGCCUAGGCGCAGCCGCGCGCUCCCUCCCUCUCUUCUCUCUCUAGCAAACCAGCCCCUCUGUUGAUAGUCAUUAAGACCUAUUUUAUACCAUCAACUAUUGCUCAAUAUAACAUGAUAUCAACCACAAAGCAUAGUUGUAGGGUUUGAUUCUAACGAGUUCCACGAGUUUUGGUGUUCUCACUUGUUUUGUAGGAAUAUGCAAUUUUCCAUCAAAUAAAAGUACAUCAAAUGAUGAUUUGGACUACACCAUUGUGAUGGGCUCAUCGAGACGAUCGAAACGGACAUAUCAUUUGCUAUAUUUGGAGUCCGGAGUGGAAAGAUAUUAAUUUUACAAAUAAAGGAGAAUUACCAAUAAUGGGCCCCAUGCCCAAGUAAGGCCCAUGGCGUGAGAAGAUGCUCAUAUGGCAUGAUAGAGGCCCAUGAGAGGCGCCCCAAGCUGCUCUCUUGAGUGGGCUCACAAUGAGGGAUGAUUGGAAGGCCCAAGUUGAUGUAUAAUAGCCCAACAGAGCAAACGGUGGAAGAAUUAGUCCCACAUCGUCUGUCCAAAAGAGGUGGGAGGCUUUUCUAGGCUAUAAAUAAAGAGGUAGACCCCCUCCCUGAGGGCACCACAUUAUGGAGAUGUAGAGGCGUCUCUCGAAUGGAUGACCUCUCACCUCUAGAGAAUUAGGGCUAGACUUUCCAAUGUAGUUGAUUAGUUCGAGUUAGGGAGAGCUGCGCUACGCUCAGGUUCUAGAGGAGUCGUCAGAGUUCUGGUAUAUCUUUAUAUCUUUUCUUGUAAGACAUGCUUUAAUAUAUUUUAUCUCUUCUAUUUACUUUUAUGCAUUACAUUUGAUUGGUUAGUAUAGUUGUUAUACUUUAGCAUAGGAUCUCCGCCCGCAUGGGGUGCUCUAGUUAUUAAUUGUGACUAGAGUAGUAAUUUGUAGUAGAGACAUGGUGUCUAGACUAUAGGUUACCUGAGAUUGCACCUAGUUCUAGGAUAGUUGUGGUAGCCCCAGGUGGUGACAGCCCUGACGACCGACGUAUUCCACCACGUUUGGAUUGGCAUUGUAGGACCGUAGUCAGACCGUCCUAGCCCCCUUCUCAUCUGUCUAUGGCUAAGUGCUCUGAUGUCCCGAAGUGUUAUUGUGUGAUUGCUUUACCUACCAUGAAUUAGUUAUUAUAGAAUCCUAGUAACAGAGAAGUAUUUAGGAACCCUAAACUCUUCAAUUGUCCUCUCAAUUUAGCUAUCUACUCUUUUAUCAUAGAAUUCUCCGGUGUGUGUCAUAUAUGCAUAAUUCCUAUCAUCGAUUAUUUACCGCUACUUUAGUCUAGUUGGUGUAUUAGUUAGUAGAUACAUGAUGGUGGACUACCAAUAUCUUUAUCCAUUGUUUCCUAGUGGUAAAAUAUAAAUAACGAUACCUGGAAUACUCCUGGUAAAAUGCUACAAUGGUUUUCUGUGCGCUUGCAGAAUCCUUCAUAUUUUAAUUGUGCAUAAGAACUACCAACACCCUCCACUUCUAGACGCUGACAAAUCGGGCCCACAUGGCAGUGCCCUAUCUUUCUUCCGCAACGCGCGUAACCGAGCCGGUCUCUCUCCCACCAAGAGAGAAACCGAUCCUUCAAUCUCAGGACUGGUUGCAGGGGACGCGAUUUGGUCACCCUUUAAGGCUUUGUUGACCCCCAGAGUCCCUCUUUUGCAUCUAGGUAAGCCAUCGAGCCACCCUAGUCUCCGCUCCGUAGGUUUUCUUCCGCCGCCGCGCGUAGCCACACCUCUUCGAGCCUUCUACGACCGAAAGAACGCCAUAGGUGAGCUCGCCACAAGCUCCUCUAACUCCUCGUGUCCUCGGUUUAGUUUUUGGUGCACUGCAGCAUUGGCUCGACGAGCUCCGGCGAGGCCCGCCAAUGGCGCCGCCGCGGGGUUCUGUUCUGGCCAGCCACCGGCAUUUUCAGCGCCAGAUCAUUUCUGCACCGUCCGAUCAGAGAUCUACGACCAGGAAUAUAAAAUACCCCUUCGGGGUACAAUUUGUUAAAGAGCCCCUCUCUUCUUCACUAAUAGAACCUGCAGUCCCCGACGUCUUUCUUAAAUGUGUUUUGUCGUUAUGAAAACGUAAAUCGACUCUAGUGUAUUUCGAAAUACGUUUUCUAUAUUUACAAAACUGUCACUGAUUUUGUUUGUCAUAAAAUGCUCAUUUUAACUCCGAUUUGAUCCAUUCAAAUUGCGCUAGGUUCGUCUUUGCGAGCUCUACAUGUUAGUAUCACUAUCGUUUCAGUUUCUAACUUUAUAAUUUAGUGGUACUAUUUAAUUAUUAUCCUUCUAUAGGAAAUCUUAGGAAAUUCAUAACUUCUCCGUUCUAAUUCUGAUUUUUGUGAUCUUUACGUUUGUGUGAUCGCAGUGCUGUGUAGAACAUUUUUAUAAACUUUUACAUUUGUUUUAUCACUAUUGGUGUAUUGUUCUAAUUAUAGUUUAUUUGCUUGUUGUAUGAUUGUCUCCAUUGGAAUGUGUGUUGUUGAUUGAUGAUCAAGUAUAGACAGUGAGCAAUACGUUGGUGAUCAAGGCCAAUCUUUUGACAAUCAGCAGGAACAAUAGGAAAUAUUUAAUCAAGACAAGUAUAAUUUGGGACUAUCCUUGUUACCUAUACAAUUUUAAAUACAUAUAUCAUAUGCAUGUGUCCACCUUGACAACCCUAGUAAAAUCAUAUAUGCUUGUUAUCUUGAAUUCCUUGAUACCAUUUUAGAUAUGCAUUUGGGUAGUUCUUGCUAGUGCUUGAUUAUAAUCAAUGAUCUUAUAACAUGAAUAUUUGGAUAUGCAAUAAACAAUAAAAUAAACUUUCUAGCAACUUGAACAUAAAGGAUGGAAAGAACUCUAGCUUUUGCUAGAUUGAUCUUGACCCUCCAUAAGGACUUAUCCCUUGGCAAAAGCUGGGACAACUCGUACAACUAUGAGGGCUAUAUGGUUUUGGAUUUAGCUCAGUAUGAAGACCUUAUCUAGCUUGUUAGAGGUUACUCAAAAGGGCGCUAGAGGGGCUUGCCGUUUUGGGUAUAGUGUGGCCUCUGUCCUUAUGUGUAUAGGUUGCGCGUCAUUGUGUCAUUUGGAAGGUGGGCUCUAUAUCUGCACGCCUGGGAAACCAUGUGGCCCUAACUUGUUAGAUAAACUUCUGAAAGGCUUCAUAGUGAUCCCUACCGACCUCCCUAGGAAGGGGGUUAAGAGACUCGCGACCUCGGGCGAAAGGGUAAAUCAUGACUCAUGGGUAAAGAUGUACAACCUCUACAGAGUAUUAAAUCUGGUAUACUAGCCGUGCCCAAAGAUACGGGCGGCCUGAAAAAAUUGACGGAAUAGAUGGACACUAAUGAACAUGAUUAAUGAUGAUAAAUAAUAGUUUAUUAUGUUGUUUAUAUGUGUUAUUCUUAAUUCUUGUAUACAUUGAUCAUGUGGUUAUGGGAUGUAAUUAUGCAAUCUUGACAUUUGCUAUCUAAAUAUGAACAUGCUAUCUAUGUAUAAAAGUUAAAUGCAGUCAAACCAGUGUCAACUAAUUGAGCCUCAUGAACCCCUGGUUAUACUUGUUGAGUAUGAUAUGUGCUCAUUCUUGCUAUUUUACAACACCUCAGGAUAUUCUAAUGAAGAUGACUGGAAUGAGGACUACCGUUCUGAGUACUAGGCUUGGAGUCAAUCAGUUGAUAGUGUCCCUGAGUGGUGCUUCCGUUGAGAGUGUCUUUAUUUGUUUAAUACUAUGUAAUGAUUGUUAAUCCGAUAUGUAAUAAACAAUGUGAUGGUACUAUUUGAGAUUUGUCAAUUUAUGUGUGCGACUAUUUAUGGGAUGCACAUCAGCCUUUUAUGCACUAUUUUGUUCUUGAAAUUUAGGUGUGACAAAUUGGUACCAAAGCUUUGUUGACUGUCGGAUGCAAGUCUAGUUAGAAAUUGGUCGUCUUAAGGUUUUAAAAUUGCUAUAAAAUCUCUGUUCUAUAAACCUUGAUACUUUCCUCUAUAUUAUAUCCUUUCCAUUGCUAUUCAUCUUCACCUUGUUGCCUAUUUUUAAAGACUUGUUCUCACCCUCAAUCCUUGCUUUGAUAUGCUUUUAGAACUUUCUCUUACCACUUUCUAGCAUCAUUGAAAUAGGAGUAAAGCUUUACCCUUAAUAGGAGGAGAACGAUAGUUCCACUAGUUGAGUCAAGGCUUGAAGUGUGAACCUUUAAUGCUUGGUUUGGUUUGUCAUUAUGUUUAUGUUUGAUUUGGAUCUUUGUAAUGAGUGUAAUGAUCUCGUCAGUUUUCUCCACAAUUUUAUUUAGUUUAUAGGCCUAAGGCAUAAGGAUUAAUGAACUAAAUAGUUGGGUUUGGUUAAAUUCUAUUUAUGUCCCUUGCUGAUUUCUGGAGCAGUCUGCAAUAAUUCUGGUAUAUCUCAAAUUCUAUUCGUGCAAAGUUUAUCAAAUUUUUUAGGAACAACUAGACUUAUCUAUCUUUCCAAAGCCGCAAGAAUGACACUAUUAUCUAUUAUUAGCUGUGAGACAUAACUGUUCAAAGUUGAGGUUUCUGCACAGUCUAGAAUUCUAGAACAGUUUCGGUUAUGCCCAGUUUUAACUAAUUUAACGACAUAAUCUGUUAAUAUGAUCUAAACGAAAGUUGUAGAUAAUUUCUUUAUCUUUCCAACGGUGUAAAGAACGUCCCCUUUUGAUUUCUGUAACUCUAUAUAUGACUGAUUUUCUAAACUGCUGAUGUUGGAUAUCGCCCAGAAAAAAAUUCAGAUUCAAUUAUCUCUCGUAUUUAUCAUGUUGGAUAUUACUAAGAUUUGUUUCUAUAUCUUGGAAUGCAGAUGGCAGCAAGGGGUUGAGGCAGAGGCAGAGGCCAUGGCACGGGUGCUAAUGCCCCAAUUUCUAUAGAAGAGCUCAUGCAGACUCAGAACGAGAUGAUGCAUGCCUUUAUGCAACACCUUCAGCAUCAACCUGCACCACCACCAUCGGUCCAUGUGAGGGAUAAGCGUGGAGAAUUUAUGAAGGGAAGACUUCCGGUAUUUACUCACACUGCUGACCCUAUGGAGGCAGAUGAUUGGCUACGUGCUGUGGAAAGACAACUGAACAUAGCACAGUGCAAUGAUAUGGAAAAGGUGUUGUGUAUGCUUGUGGACAACUUCAGGGAGCAGCUCAAACUUGGUGGGAGUCAUAUCAAGCUACUCGUCCCAACAAUGCUCCUGCUAUCACUUGGCAGGAAUUUUGCAGAGAUUUUAGAGCAUGACAUAUCAAUGAAAGAAUGAUAGAGCUUAAGCAGGAGGAAUUUAGAUCUCUCAAAAUGGGCUCCAUGAUUGUGGCUGAGUAUCAUGAUACAUUUGAGCAGUUGGCUCGCUAUGCUCCGAAUGAUGUUAGGAAGAUGCUGAUAAGCAGCAUCUGUUCAUGAAAGGUCUCUACUAUGAACUCAGGUUGCAGUUGGCUGGAAAUACUAUCCUACCUUCCAAGCUCUUGUGAAUCGUGCUAUUGUGCUAGAUAAUAUGUGCAAAGGUCAGGAUAAGAAGAGGAGGAUGCUAGCAUAAGGUUCUGGUAGUAACAACUGCUAGCAUUUCAAUUCUCAGCAAGGUUUUCAAGAGAGGUUCUAGGGACCAAUUAGUCAAUGGAACCACAACCAGCAGCCUCAGCAUUUCCAGAACCAACCACAGCGGGUCUUCUUGUGGAUAAGGUUCGGUCCUAGAGUUUAAAGAAUGUGAGAUGGACAGUGGGAAUUGAAGUUUCUUGCCUAAGCGAAUUUUUAGCUUCCCAGAUUGUCCUUCAUAGAGAAGUCAUCUAAAAGGUUGUUCUAUCAACAGGUUGAAGUCCCAUGUGUCAAAGAUAUAAAAGCUUAAAUGUAUUGGGGUUCCUUCUACCUGGAUGGGUAGGAUGUGUAGGAUUCCAAAACUAGGGAUGAUAUGUCCUGAGAGACUUCUGAUCAAUUUUAUUAUCAGGAUUAAUGUCAUGUCUUGUAUUAAAUGUUCUGCAAGAGACAUAGGCAUGAUGUUUAUCCCCACAACUGGAUUAUAGAGAGCAUUUAUUUGAUCUGUAUUGAUUAUGCAAUGAAUUGGAAUAGAAGAUGAAUCUAAGUGGAUUAUUUCAGUGGAAAGCUUUGAUUCUUCUAACCAUUCAUUACUUAUAACCGAUACUAAUUCUCUUGAGGUUCUUCCAGAAGGAAUAUCCUCAGGGGGAUCAAAAGACUUUCUAGAGUUUCUCUGUGGCCUCUUCACAGAGUGAUAAUUCAAGAUGUUUCCAAAUUCGGUAAAGAGAUCAGGUUCUAUGUCUAGCAUAAAAUCUGGAAAUGGAAUUUCUUCUUUUUCUUUCUCUAGACAUGUGUUAGCUAAGGUAGACGAUGUGUCUGGUGAAGGGUUGGUUUCAGCUAACUGGGUUGAGGCUCUACUUCUAGGAGGUAAUCUAAUUUAGUGGAUAGGAUUUGAUCUACGAUUAAUCUUGGUUUCUCAGAAGAGACAUGCAAGAAAGAUCCUUCUAAUGUAGUGUUGAGCAACUUUCUACUUUCUCUACUCAGACCCUUAUAAAAAUGUUGUAAAAGAAUAUGGUCUGGUAGACUAAGGUCUGGGUCGGAUGCUAAAAGUAUAGUAAAUCGAUUCUAGGCUGAAGCCAAGGUUUCUUUAGAUUCUUGCUUUAUAGUGAGAACCUUGACUCUAAGGUCGAUGAUUUGGGAGAUAGGAUAGAAAUCUAGGCAAAAGUUGGAACGUAAAGAUCCCAAAUCUCCUUGUUGCUUACCUACGGCUCUAUUAUACCAUUGUCUAGCUUUUCCCUUUAAUGAAAAAGCAAAUAGCUUCCAACAGAGAGUUUCAUCAGAUAUGUCUUCUAUGCGAAGAUAGUCACAUGUUUGCUCAAAGUCUUUAAUGUGUAGGUAAGGAUUUUCAGCUCCUUCUCAGGAUAGGCUUUGGACCAACACAAUCAACCGUGGACUCAGCCUAUAGCUACAUGUUUGGAUAGGUUGUGAUGACUCAUGUGGCACUAGGCUAGUCUCUGUGGUGCAGAGAACUGAAGGAUAGGAAUGGAAUUUAAGGUAUCCAUAAAAGAAAAGGUAAGAUGUAAGAAAAGGUGAGAUAAUAGAAAAAGGUAAAAGUGUGACACAAGAUAGAGUAAGACAAGGUUAUCUAAGCAGACCGUCUUUCUCCCCGGCAACGGCGCCAGAAAUGCUUGUUGAUAUUAGUUACCCACACAAAAAAAUCAAAGAGAAAUAAUCCGCAAGCAUAUGGAUAUCGGUGAGUACUUCACCCAGGAGAUAAGUCUAGAGUAUCGUAUUUAUUUUUUACCACUAGGAGAAAGCGUGCAAAAGACUAACCUUUUAUCCUACCUACUACCCAUGGGUUGCAAGACAAGAUAGCGAGAAUUAAGCGAUAUAGAGAGAACUCUUUCUUCAGCCUUCUUCUAACCUAUGGUAAGUGUGUAGAUAUCGUUCUAAGGGGAGUAACUAGAGAAAAGAGACACCUCAAAGAGUGCUUAACCCUAGUACCAUAUACCCUACCUGUCGGCAUCUGGACUGGGGUCUAGGCACUAACAAGUGAUGAAUCUGCGUGCCCCCUUAACCAAAAUGGUGAUGCAAGAAAACACAGAGGGUUUAUACUGGUUCGGGCCUUGGAUGCCCUACGUCCAGUGAGAGAGUUGGAGUCUAUAUUGCCUUGCACCUGAGAGUGAAAGUAGUAGGGGAGUACAAGCUAGUUGCAAGAGACGGAUGUGUCCCAGGUCUCGGCUUAGGGAGUGAGUGAAGGGGUGCUCAGUGUCAUAAGUCCUCUAUCUCUAUGCGAGUGGAGUGGAAUAUGACAGUGUGUGGUGAGUUGUGUGUUCAUGUGUUGCUUGAGUGCUGCGUGUGUCCCCUAUGGGGUGCCCUGCCUCCUCUUUUAUAGUCACAAGGGGUGGCAGGGCUUUUACAUGUGUAAGUCUGUAAUUUAUCCUCAGUGUACAGUGGAGCGAUAGUGCCGCUGAGAGGUACCAGGGUGAAGUCAUCCGGGUCGAGGCCCUGCUCACCCAGAGGGACCUGGCCCUAAAUCAAGCCCGAGAUGAGCUUGCCGAGGUUCAGUGCCAGGCCUCUCAGUGGCAGGGUCAGGCGGAGGCGAGCGCGAAGCGAGUGGAAGGUAAUGGUGGUGACCUUACCAUGGUCGCUUAUGUGUAAAUCUGUACCUUAUUUUUGCUUUUUAUUGCAGAGCUGGAGGGGAAGGUGACUGAGGCAGUCUCUACGGCUGAUGCUCUGCAGAAGACCUGCGAUGCCGAAGCCACAAAACGCUCGACUCUGGAAACCGUUGUUGCCUCGGCAUGCGAGGGGCUCAGUGUCGAGGCGGACCCAUCGGGGUCUUCCUUGCGCGGGUGUGUCGAGGCCUUGUACUCCCGGGUCAGCGAGAGGCUAAGGGACGCCCUCCACACCGGGGUGAAGAAAGCCCUGCCCGUGGUGAGCUCCCACUACAUCGACAUUGAUCUGCCGGUGGUGAGCAAGGGCUAUGUCGUCCCUGAUGAUGAGGAGGAGGCCAGGGAGGAAGUCUAGAAGCUCUCUGACGUCGCGGAGGUCACAGGAGAUGCCUUGGCUGCCUUCUUCGACGCAGAAGUCGUGCUCCCCCCUCGGUGUGCGAGAGCCUGAAAAGGUAGGACCAUAGAGCCCUUGUAACUGAUUAGCUUAGUUUGUAAAUAUUCACGGCCAGUAGAGCCUUAUUUCAUGAACUUGAUAUCUAUAUGAAUAUUUAUGAAUGUUUUUCUUAUGUUUUUGUGCUUCUUUUUCCCAUUGGAGCCGACCUUGCCUCGGCGGCGCGAGGUAAGGUGAGCCGCCAAGGGUCUGAUCUUUUGGUUUGAACGUUCUGAGCCCAAACCUCUUCCCUAUUUCCUAAUGCUUUUAGUCCCUCCGUGGGACUUUUUCUAAAAUCCAAACAAACUUAUCUCCCGGUCUUAAGGGGUGAGUAGAAAAAGGUCUUAGACCGUAGGCGUGGAUGGUGUUUUAGGCUCGUUCGCCUUUAAGUCUAGGGGGUCAGUUUGUGGUUUUGAGCUUCUUAAGAACAGGGAUAAAGGCUUGGGUCGGAAAAACUCUAACUUAAACAAAAAAGAGGUUUGCGACAAUAGGGGGUUCCCCCCAUAUAGCCCCCGAGGGAGGCUCAGGCUCUGCAUGGGUAGAGCCGAGGCUUACUCUUAAGGCAAAAGAAAAAACUGGUAUUGAACAUAGUCCACAUCUUAUUACUUUUUCAAGAUAAGUAUAAAUGAUUUCUUUACAAAACUUAAGGGUAGAAGCGACAUAGCUGCUCUAUGUUGCACGCGUUGUUGUAGACUUCUCCUUCUUUGUUGGCGAGCUUGUAAGUGUGGGGUUAGAGGACUUCGGCGAUGACGAAGGGUCCUUCCCAGGGAGGCGUGAGAUUGUGGCAUCCCUUGUUGCUCUGUCUGAGCCUCAGCACCAAGUCGCCGACCCUGAAGGCACAGCCUCAGACUCGUCAAGCAUGGUAGCAUCGGAGAGCCUGCUGGUACUUAGCCGAGUGUAUAAGAGCUACAUCCCUGGCCUCGUCCGGCUGGUCCAACACGUCUUCUUGGAAUGUUUUGUAGCUGUUUUCGUCGUAUGCUUGUACCCUUGGUGACCCGUACUCAAGGUCUGUGAGGAGAACAGCCUUGGACCCGUAGACCAUGAAGAACGGGGUGAAGCCCAUAGCUCGGCUUCGAGAAGUCCUUAGACUCCAAACGACGGUCGGUAGUUCUUUAAGCCAUCUUUUCCCAAACUUGUCCAACCGGUUGAAGAUCCUGGGCUUUAGACCCUAGGCGUUUUGCUCAUGUGUUGUGGGACUACGACGCGGAGCUUUCCGCAUUUUGUACCACUGCCUGCUCUAGGAGGCCUCAGAGUCCCUGGCACACUCUUCUUCCCUCAGGGGUCGAUGGCUUGGGCAUCGCCCUGAGGAGCAGCGCGGCGGCCAUCAUGUUCUGGCUGGCCGUGCUAAAAACUGGUGGGUCAUCCCCACCGGCAUCUUCGACAAUGUGUCGAUUGACAUCGCGGGUGCGGCAACUGGCUGCUCCUCCGUCCUCUCGUGCAGACUGAUCCUGCUCUAGGGUCUCGUGUAGCUGUCGUAGGCGUACGCGUUCCUCUUCGAGCCUAGCCUCCAGCUCGUUGAGCUAUUCGAGGUCAGGUCGUCGAUCCCCUGCCGGGGCAGAUGCGGCUCCUCGGGCCCCAGGAUAACCUACGAGCGUCGUGUUAGGAGGGGGAGUCACAUUCUAUCGCUCUGAGGGUCCUGCGCCGCCUUGAUCAUUCAGGGAUGCUCCGUCAACCUCGAUGUUGAAGCACUCUCGAGACGGAUCGUAAUCAUCCCCAUCAGAGUCGGAGUAGCCGAGGCAGUAGUUGCUUGCCUCAAGGAAGCGCAUGAAAGUCUUCGAGUCACCGAGGCCAGAGAAAUCAGCGCCAACCCAUGCAUCUUCUCUCGAGGAAGCUUCCUCAGGAUAAGAUGACACGGAUGGGGUGGCAAUGAGAUCAAGGGUAGACCUUAGGUGAUGCCCUGGGAGAUCCGCAUACGCACUCAGUGAGGUGCUUACGGAGGAGGCAUAAGAGGCGGCUGCGUUCUUGAGCCCAUAGGGGAGCACAAGAGGCAUAGCCGCGGGUCCUCCGGCUGUCGCCUUAGGUUUUGAGGGCGACGCGGGAGGGAACUGUGAAGUCAAAGCCCUCGGGUCCCCCUUUCGAAAUGGAGGUGGAGGCUGUGCUUUGCCCUUUGAUCGGGGUGGAACAGGAGGUCGCGCUGCCCCCCUAACAGCCCUUGGAGUAGAGCUUGAAGCUCCACAGGAUCUUCCCCUAGCACAGUGUGGGCUAGAGGAAUGGGCGAUCUGAUGAGGAAUGUGCGGGGGGAGAGCCGGACGAGUCCUAGCUUCAGCAGCGGGGUCAGAGAUCCUAGACCUGUGACGCCCGUGCUGGGCUCCCCCUGCAUGAUGUCCCAAGCGCCUCCCACGCACUGGCUGGGGCGGGAGCGGCUCGGGACGCAGCUCAGCAUCAUCACGAGGCAGGAGGAAGACUAUGUCAUAGCCGGAGCCAAGAGACAUGAACUCCAAACUCCCAAACAUCAUGAUGGUGCCAAGGCAAAGUGGGCGAAAUCCAUCCGCCAUCCGGGCUUUUCCUAGCAGGAAAAGAGAGAAACACGUAGAAGGCCCCUACCUGGCGUGCCAACUGUCGGUGUCUGGACUCGGGGUCCAGGCACUAACAAGUGAUGAAUCUGUGUGCCCCCUUAACCGGAAUGGUGAUGUAAGAAAACACAGAGGGUUUAUACUGGUUCAAGCCUUGGAUGCCCUAUGUCCAGUGAGAGAAUCAGAGUCUGUAUUGCCUUGCAGCUGAGAGUGCUUGUAGUAGGGGAGUACAAGCUAGUUGCAAGAGAAGGAUGUGUCCUAGGUCUCGGCUUAGGGAGUGAGUGAAGGGGCGCUCAAUGUCCUGAGUCCUCUAUCUCUAUGUGAGUGGAGUGGAAUAUGACAGUGUGUGGUGAGUUGUGUGUUCGUGUGUUGCUUGAGUGUUGCAUGUGUCCCCUAUGGGGUGUCCUGCCUCCCCUUUUAUAGUCACAAGGGGUGGCAGGGCUUUUAUAUGUGCAAGUAUGUAAUUUAUCCUCAGUGUACAACGGAGCGACAGUGCCGACCCUAUGGGGAUCGACCGCCUUGUCCUUGUGGUGUAGGUGACGGCGUGGUCGUCCCUGUUGGAAGCGUCGCUGAGCCCUGUUCGGGUCGUGGAGGUCAGAUCUGAGGCCCUGUGGCUUGUCCUGCAACAGUAGAACAGUAACUACCAAAGUAUGGUUUACAGUGGUAGGGGUUAACUCCUCCCAUUCCUCCUACUGUCGUGCAGUGCUCACAGUGACAAGAGGUGAGGUGCUACAGAGAUGGGAGUUGUAGGACUAGUGGGCGACGUGCCCUGCUGCAGCGUGGGAAGCAUGGCACAUGUCGCAUCAGGGGUACGGCCGCCGUGUGUUAGAAGCCUGGCGCCAAGGCCGAGGCUCGGGCGAGGCGUUGAUUGCGCUCGAGGCUAAGGCUCGGGUGAGGCGUUCAUUGCACUUGAGGCCGGGGCUCGGGCGAGGCAUUGAUUGCGCUCGAGGCCGGGGGCUCGGUCAAGGCAUUGAUUGCGCUCGAGACCGGGGGCUCGGUCGAGGCGUUGAUAGCGCUCGAGGCCGAGAGCUCGGUUGAGGCGAAGAUUGUGCUCGAGGCCAAGGGCUCGGUCGAGGCGCUGGUUAUGCUGGGGCUUGGGGUACGUCGUUGUUCCUUUUUGCUGCUUUUUCCCUCUUAAUUUGGGUAUCCCAGUUUAUGGUACCCAACACUACCUUACCUCCUUUCGGGACGUGGACUACUAAGACCCAAGAGGAUUGUCACUUCCUCCAAAAGGCUACCACAAAUCCAGCCAAGCAAGGAGUAUCUACGAGUAUUCCUAGCCCAAGCACCACGCUUACGCUAUGAAUAAUUACUCUAUUCCCUACGCAAAGCGAAUAAAGUAAACUCGUAAACCAAAGAACAAUAAGAACAAUAACUUACUAGUAUCAAAAGUUGAAUUGUCGAACGAUUCUAGAACCAAGCCUCGGGUUAGGAGACUUGACCCCGAAGAUACGAAGAAGAAGGCACCGACAGACCGGGCUUCCUCAACUCCUAUCUUCACCCUAUACUCUCUCAAUCUCUCUUGUUGCUAUCACCCUAAAGAGACAGAUCCAUUCGAGGAACCCCUCUGUCUAACUCUCUCUAGAAAAUAUGAAUUAGGGUUUCUAAAUCUCUCUUGUUGCCCACCCUUGCCCUAUGACAUAUGGGUCCCACCUUUCAGGUGGUGGCUCCUAGAGUCUUCUAGAGUCUUCUUGAGUUGACGUUCCGGUCUUCUCUCUAUGUAAAUCUGACAUGUGGACCUUCUUUUGUUUUUUUUGGUAACCCCUUGUAGAAAUAGACAAUCACCAAAACUCAUGGAAUUCUGUUAGUGAUAACCCUAUUUCUACUGAGUGCUUGCAAAUAGGUCCUUUUUGAUGUUAAGUUGAUGAUUAAAAUUAGGAGUUAUCUACCGUCAACACUCAUAUAAUAUAUACAUGUGAAGGGAUGUCUCUAAGAGACAACUAUUCACCAAAGGAUAGACUCUUUGGUGACAUGAUUAAUUGCUAAUCUCUAACACUAAUCCUAAUUGCUCAUACGAAUGGAUGAGAUCAUUAGUGAAUGGAUGCCUAUUGGGAAUAGGUGUCAUUUCACAACAAGCGCGAGCAGGAACGGCUUGGCAGGGAGGUUGUGCUCAACGGCAAGCUCUAGCAUGAACUUGGUGAGCAUGACCUAGUAGGUGUCGUUGGUGAAGAGUGCACGGGAGAGCACAGUGAUGACGCAGAGGAGAAUAGCAGGUCGCAGCUGCCCUAGCGUUCACCAUGCCAGGAGUUUGCCUAGGUGCUUCAACAUUCCAACACCCUUGAGGUAUCCGCCCACCAUCAUGGUGGUGAAGAGCAGGCCUAGCAUCGCCCCAGCCAUGCGCCACCAUCAGGACACGUUAGCCCAACCCUCAGGAGUCGUUUUUUCAAACGCUGUGGAAGAAGGGAUUGUGGGAGGUAAAGGGAGUCUAGAUCUCAUCGAUCCGGCCAUCACCGUCUCACCGAAGCUCCGGCGGCGUGGAAAGAGGAGGUGCGGCCGGUCUUCCCCACGCGCGUGUGGGAGGAAAGGCCGCUAGAUGGACAAUGGGAGCCCUUCCUACUCUGGGAGGCCGUGUAGAGGAGGUGGCCUAACGCCGGCAUCGAGAGCCAAAAGGCGUGGCGACGUCCAUGGGAGACGAGGAGGGGCAGGGGAGGGCAUGAGUGUGAGAUAGUGUGGUGGACGAGUGGGGUAGGAUGCCAGGCAGACAUGGACCCACUUGUCGGCGCAGUAAAAUAUUGGCCAAGGCGGGAGGAGCCAAGGUAGGUUUCGUCCUAUCGGUAGACCUGGACAUUUACCUAUGGGUGGGGGGUUGGAGGAGUGAAGGCGAGCGAAGCCAAGUGUGGACAAUUGUCCUACAAAUGUUUUAGUUGUAGAGAAGGCAGGCGAGUGACAUGCCUCUGGGCCACAUGUUGGCCCAACCAACGAAACCGGAGGACGUAGAUCGUGUACAGGUUUCCCAUGGUCGGCUAGUAAAAAUAGCCGCAAAUAUAGCUAUUCCAUACUUUACAUUACAAAGAACAAGUAGAUGAUUAGAAGCCCAUUGACAUCCUUUCGUCAAUAGAGCUCCCAACAAUGCUUUACAUUACAAAGAACAAGAAAUGUUUCGUCAAUAGAGCUCCUUAGCUAUGCUUUACAUUACAAAGAACAAGUAGAUUGAUUAGAAGUUCAAUGAAAACAUUUCCUCAAUAGAGCUUAACAAAAAUCAACUAGGGAAUAAACCACUGCAUCCUACCAGGCUACCACUCUAAAUUCUUUUUAUUUUUUCACUUUAUCUCUAAAAAUUAUUUUUACUUUUUUCACUUCAUCUCUGGACAGCGGCGAAGCCAGGCUAGAAGACCACCCGGGUCUUGGCUGAAGCAAGGUGGGGUAAUUAGGAGCAAAUAACAAUCAUGUACAGUGAUUUUCUCUUUGUUUUCCAAGAUCUAUCGGGGUUAGUGGACCCCAAUAGCAAGCCUUAGCUUCACCUCUGUCUCAAGGUAAUAGAAUUUUAAGAGCGGGGUUUGAGAUUCUCAUAGAAACAUUUCAGAUUCAGAUUUCCAUAAUGAAUCAAAAUCACUUUGUGGAACUAUUUGGCUAGCUUGUUAGAUCCUCGAAACUAGAACUAGACUCAAAGAAAAUAGUUUUGGGGUGUUUCUCUACAUGCUAGGACAAAAACAUAAAUCAGUUCCAAGUGAUUCUCUCGGAAACAGUUCUCUUUGUGAUAUUUAGCAACGAUUAUAAUGAUUUCACUGAGAAUCUAAAACGUUUCUCGCUGCCAAACACACCCUUAGAAUCUAGCAUUUACAAUAUUUAACUAAGAAUUAGUAUAACUCCAACCAAUGAUAUUGGUUUGUUUUAAAAGCAUCUUAUGGCAACAACCAGCUAAUAAGAUGAUCUGUUCUUCUCGAACAAUAAAUGUGACUUCAGUUUGAUAUGUAAAGAUACUCUCUACAACCAAAAAUCAAUCAAAACCGGACAGUAGCAAUCAAAACCUCGUUUCCAUCCUUAUUGACAUUGACCCAAUCGCAAGGAGAGGCGCACGGCUUUCAGUAUACUCGAGCUCCUAUGGUAGUUGCAUCCAGUCUGCCGCCUAUAUUGCUUAGUCAUUAAACUUCCUCCUGCAUUCAAAAGGGUCCUGGCAAACAAGAUAUCAUCAUUUACUGAGAUUCAAAAUAAUAAUAAUAAAAGUCUGGGUGGCAGCAUUUCUUACUAUAUAAGUUGCCUUAAUUAACCGUUCAUUGCAGUAUUCUCCAUCCAAUGCCUUCUUUGCAGCUGCCGCAUAACUUAGAGCAAAUCCAACACUACCCUAUAUGCACUUGGCAAAUCCUAAUUUUUGGCAAAACAUAGAAAAAGCUCCUCCAACACUACCCUAUAUGCACUUGGCAAAAUAGGAUGCUUGGCAAAAAGAAAGCCAACUGGCUCAAAUUUAGGAGCGUUGGGAGCGCUUGGCAUCCUGCCUACGCGGUGGGACCCAAACAUUCAGCAUGCACGCAUGCCUUAAAUAGAUUGCAACUUUUGCAUAAAAGUCCCUCUGAUUUUUUCAGAAAUCACAAGAUAGUUCAAAUUUGCCAAAAAAUAGCUAACUGUUGGAAAAGCCUCUUUUUUACACUUGGCAUUUGAGCUUUACACUUGGCAAAAUCCAAGAUUUGCCAAGUGAAGUUUAGAGUAGUGUUGGAGUUGCUCUUACAUCUCUAAAUCGCACGUAAACUUUACCAGCAUAGCUGUAAAAGUUCAACCAUUGUAAAAAGUACAUCGUAAUAUUAUCAAAAAAUCUAUCGUCCAUAUUUAUUAGUAUUAUACACAUGCUAACUUACGGGUCAACACCAACAUUCGUCACUGUACCACCUUUGGUGGCACACAUCUCAUGAGCAUCAGCCUUGACAUCCUUCAGUAGAACAGAGUCCAUCUGCAAAACAGAUACGAUUGUGUACGUGUUACUGCAUGGUUUAUGAGACACUGACUAAUAAGUGUCCAGAUGUACCCCAAAGGCCCCAAAAACAUUGUUUGCAUGCGCUCAAGCAAAGCCAAAGAAAUGAAUGGUUAUUAAAUAUAAGCACAACAAUAACCAACCUUUAAAGAAUCAACGAAUGGUUCAACCACACACUUGUCAAACAAGUUUUCCAACACUAAGCAUAACUGUGGUUCCACACUCGGUUCCUGUGCCUCACUAAGAUAAAAAUGAAACAAAGAAUGAGCCGAGACGAAAUAGGGGUACGGAAAUAUGUUAAAAGUACAAUUCAGCAGCAGGUGAAUGAUAAGUUAAAAGUAUAAUUCAGCAGCAGGUGAAUGAUAACCUAUCAAUAGCAUCUUCAUGAUUCCUUUGAAUAGCCCAAGUUCAAAACGCAGUUAUGACACAAGCCAAAGCAAUCACUUUCGAAAUAAUUGAAGAGAUUGGUAUUUCACCAACUCAUUGUGCGCAAAGAGGAUGCCUCAUCAAUGAAUAAUUCAGUUGCGAAGAAACAAAGGUGAAGGCUGAUCAAACAGUUGUCGAAAUGGCACCUGACGUCCUGGCCGUGCUUUCCUCCAUCAAGACGUAGUUUCCUGUCACCCGGGCUUUCUUCAGGGGGGCUGUCGUCGUGGCGACGGUGGCUGCUCCUGUCGUCGUGGCGACGGCUGCUGCUCCUGUCGUCGUGGCGACGCCGGCUGCUCCUGUCACCGUAGUCGUCGUCCUUGUAUCGGUGGUGGUGGUGGCGGCGGUGGCUCAUGGCAUCGUGGUCGCCGUGCUCGCGGUGCAUCUCCUCCUCCUGCCGGUAGUCGCGGAUACGACGAUCCGGGCUACCGGGGUGCCGCGUCUGAACAUUAGAUCGCUUCGAUCGACGUUGUGCUUCGUCGGGAUCCUCCUCUCGGCCACUGCUUCGGCAACGGCGAGAUUCUCGGACCCUAUCGUCCUUCUCGGGAGCCACAGCCACCUUGGGUUCCAUGGCGCCGUCACCUGAGAUCCGAAGCAUAUAACAAAUCAAAGCAACACCAAAACAACCAAUUGAACGGGGUAGUAAUAAUGUAAUAGAUUUCUGGAGAAAGGCAGGAGGCGCCAAGGGAAGAAGGACGAUCCGUAGAUCUACCGGUGGCGAGAGGAAAAUACACCGGCCAGCAAUAACAACGAAUGCUCGGCGAACCACCGCCCGGCGAAGCACCAGGCGAUUAGGAGUGGAGCCGGCUGCCGGCGUGAGGGAGCAGGGAGUCGAGGCGGCGAGGGAUAAACCCUAUGGAUCUGAGCAACUAGCAAGAGGAUGCUCUGCAAUCUGGAACGCAGGCUCUCGAAAUAAGCCCAGUCCAAACUGGUACUCCCAUCAGCCUGUCUAUAUUGGGCCGGGACAAAUGUUGGCAGCCCGUUAUUUCGCUUGACGUAAGCCUUAUCAAGUAUGACGAAGCAGGCUGACGAGAGUGGACAGCGGCAAGGGAUCAAGAGUACGAGUAUGUAAUAAAGACCAAUGGUUUCAUUCUGAGAAAAAGAUGCACCAAUGGUUUCUCACCUUUUAUUUGUUGAUGAUUCUUUAAUCCUUAUGCAUGCUGAUUGGCAAAUUCUGGUCAAUUGUUGAGAGACAAGUCAAGUUUUUUUUUUAUUUGGAAACACAGAAACUGAUGUGAAGUUAGAGGUAUGUGAUGACAAAUAUCUGGGCAUACCUACAUUAGCACGAGCAGCAAAAAGCAAUUAUUUUUGCCAUCUCAUCGAUAGAAUUGAUCAGUGAGUUUGGCGAAUGGAAGGAGAAACUUCUAAGUAUGUGUGGAAAUGAGGUUUUAAUUAAAUCCAUCGCUCAAGCCGUGCCAACGUAUAUGCGAUGAUAGUCUUCAAAAUCCUGAAAGCAAUAUGCAAAGGGAUGACAGAUGCUAUAUCACAUUUUUGGUCGGGUGCUGAAAUAAAAAGAGAAGGAUUCAUCACUAGUACACAGAUACUCUAAGCCGGUGGGGGCAAAAAAUUUUCACAGACGGUUUUAGUUGUAAUACGUCUGUGUUGUAAAUUUGUACGGCAAGAUUUAAAAACCGCCUGUGUAAAUAGGUGCGGUUCACAUAAGAAAACCGCCUGUGUUAAUGCUCCAUUUACACAGGCGGUUCAGUUAUGUGAACCGCAUGUGUAAAUCCAUUAACACAGGAGGUUCACAUAAGAAAACCGCCUGUGUAAAUGGAGCAUUAACACAGGUGGUUUUCUUAUCUGAACCGCCUGUGUUAAUAGAUUUACACAGGCAGUUCCUUAAGCAAACCGCCUGUGCUAUUCUUUCUAUAAAUACCCCACAGCCCCCUUCUUCCUCCUCGGGGCAGAACUGUAGCUCGCAACCACAUUCCAUUGGAGCACAUCUUGGAGGUUCAGUUUUUCCAAAAUACAAGGGGGGAGGUUUUGGUCUUUAUUUCUUGGAAGGAGGUGGCUAAGAAAGGUUAGUUGAUGUCUCUAAAGGCUCUUUUUGUGCCCUCUUGCUCAAUUAGAGCUACUUUUUUGAUCUAGGGUUUCACCAUGAGAGAGAGAGUAGAAUAACUAGGUAUGGACUAUAUUUGCUCAAAUGAGGUUGCUUAAGAUGGUUAGAUGAAGUCUCUCCUCUCUCUUUUUCUAUGUUUUCUUCUCUAAUUAGUGAAUCCAAGAAAUAUAUAUGUAGUGGUUUCCAUGAAUGGUGUUUCCAUGCUUGGGAAGAAAGAGAAAGAUAAGUUUUCUAUUGUUUAGGGUGUUAUUUUUUAUGUAAAUUUGAUUUCAUUAUGCAAUAUACAUUUUUCAUGUAUGAGGUUGCUUAAGAUGAUGCCUCUCCUCUGACCAUUUCCAUGUUUCCUUCUCAAAUUUAGUAUAGUGAAUCAAGGUAUAUAUUUAGUUGAUUCCAUCAAUGGUGUUUUUCUACCUUGUCAAUUUGAUUUAGUUGUUAUUUUUUUUUUGAAUUAUUACUUAGGGUUUUAUCUUUAUUUUUAAUGUUAGCUCCGAGGUCUACAAAUUGGAUAGAUAUACAAGUUGGAGGGUUUUCAUCUUCACAAGUUGUUGUUUGAAAGGUUAGAUGACAAUUUUUCUAAACUACUUGUUUUGCAUUGAGAUAAAUUAAUUUACUAAUUUUUGCACAGCUCGUGAUGGAGCGGUCCUUCUGGAUGUAUAACUUAUCAAGAUUAGAUCCAUCAUACAUACCUGAGGUCCAUAGGUUUGUUGAUGCUGCUAAGAACCAUGCUUUGAGAACAAAGACGAAGCACAUAUAUUGUCCAUGCAUGUAACAGAAAAAACUUGAUGUGUGAUCAUGUUUGUAAUUAAUGUAACCUUAUGUAUAAAGUAAUAGUAUAUAUAUAAAUAAAUUGCAUGUUGCAAUGGUUGACAUGAUCUCUAGGCUUUAGUAGUUUCAAUAUUAUGUAUGUGUGUGUGCGUGUGUGUGUGUAUAUAUAUAUAUAUAUAUAUGUUGUAUGUACAUAUUAAAAUACAAAAUGAAAAAUAGGGUCUGAUGGGAAAAUUUAGAAAUGGGCGGGAGAUUUAAAAAUUUUAACACAGACGAUUACAUAAUGAGAACCGCCUAUAGAAAGUUCAUUUCUACAGGCGGGUUGCGUAGCUGAACCGCCUGUAGAAAGUUCAUUUCUACAGGCGGGUGGCAUAACUGAACCGCCUGUAGAAAUCUAUUUCUACAGGCGGUUCUAUGUUACCCGCAUGUGGAAACUCUUGAUUUCCACAGGCACCCAGCGCAGACGGUUCUCCAAUCCACCUGUGGAAAGGGGUUGGGAACCGCCUGUAUAGUGGUUCUGUGUACUAGUGCAUUGGCAAGUUUGGUGGAAAUUAUGUGUUCCAAAGGGUAAAGGAGGCAUGGGCUUCAAGGAUUUCCAUAGCUUUGAUUUAGCCAUGCUUGCGAAACAAGUCUGGAGAUUAUUGUUGUAUGACGUAGACUCCCUAUGUGUAAGGGUCUUGAGAGCAAAAUACUAGCCACAUUGUAAGUUGCUUCAAGCAUGCAAGGACGAGGAGUGGGAGUUCUUUUACAUGGCAAAAUAUAUUAGUAAGCCUAGAAUGCUUCAAACUUGGAUAUAUUUAGCGAAUCAGAGAUGGUACACAAAUAAACAUUUGGAACGAUAACUCGAGGCAACAUUUUAGUCUCCACAGUGGAUGAACUUAUUAAUCUGAUGAUGGUCGGUGGAAUGAAGAGCUGAUUAGAUCUAUUUUUCUGGUUUGUGGGUGUGCAGUGUAUCCCAAAUACCAAUUGCCCUAGGCGUGAGGAUUUGGUUGCAUGGCACUUCAAACGGAGCGGCUUAUUUUCGGUGAAAUCAGCCUAUCAUUGUCAAUGAAAUCACAGUUUUAGAAAAAAUAUCUAGCAGGAAGCGGCAAGUGGAUCGAGGGCAACUCCAGUUUGGCAGCAGCUAUGGAACCUAGCGCUACCUAGUAAAAUCAAUAUCUUUGCAUGGCAUGUACUUCAUGGGUGUAUCCUGUGGUUGUUAACUCUGUUCGUUGAAAUUACUGUUCGCUGAUUUAUUGUAAGAGAAAAACAUCACUGAAAGCCUUAGUUUGAUUUUGGAUAAUUGAUGAAACCUAUGUGUACUAACAUUUGUCAUAAGUGAAAUACAAAGAUAGGUUGGUUCACACCAAGUAAUGAAGCUAGAUGAUGGUCAUAGUGAUGGAGGUGACCAACAGAUAAUAUUCAAGUGCUCCAACUUAGAAAAGAAGAAAGAGAAAAAUAAAAUAGGCUCAAGGCAAAGGUAUUUUUAAUAGGGUCAUUUUGUUUUGUCACUCAAGACACCUAGAGGGUGUGAGUGGAUUUAGGAUAGAUAACCGUACUAUAAAGAGGGAAAAUCUUUAAUUGCAAUAGUUAUCUAGUGUCACUAAGUGUGAGUCUCUGUUGCAUAUGCAUUGCGCUUAGUGACGUGGUGAGAAUACUUGAGAAAAUCCUAAAAAUUAUUUGUAAAAAUGCUAACUUAAAUGCUCAAUUGUUUUGGUACUUCGUGGGAGAGUUAGCACCUUGAAAAGGGAUAUUUAGUUGAAAAACGAGCUACUAGUCAUGCCCAAACAACAAGGGGUCGAUCGGAGUUAUUCACUACCCUACUGAAUAUUCUAGUGUAUGUGCUUGCAACACAGAGGGGUCGAUCGGAAUUUUCCCUGCUCUACCCGGAUAUUUUCAUGGCCCUACCUGAAAAUUUUGGUUGAGCUCAGAUCUACUCGCGCCCAACGGUUAUGUGCGUGCAACAGAGAGCUACGUUACACGAGUACGGGUACGAGUAUCGGAUACAAUAUGUAUCGGAUACGUGGAUACACACUUUCUAAAAACAAAACCCACUAAAAUGGUGUAUCCGAGUAUCCGUAUCCGCGUAUCCGACGAGUAUCGGAUACAGAUACGUCACCCCCCUUGGAGUAUCCGUGUAACAUAGACAUAGAGUUUUGGCAGGAAAUUUAGUUGCCCCACAUUGGAAAUUUUUCGGUGCUGUAGUUCACCCACGCCAACGGUCAAAAGUGUGUUUGUCUGGAAUUAUUUCCUACCCGCACUGGAAUUUCUCGCGAGACUGGGCUGCUGAAACUGUCAGAUGAGUGGCUGGCCGAGGAUAAGGUCGGGUCUUACUAUACCUCUUCCUUUCUUCUUUCUCAAUCCAUUCCCCAUUCUUGCUCUCUUAAAGAACCUAAGAAAAGCUCUCUCCUCCUCUCUCACUCCCAAGGAUUUAUGCUCCAUUCAAGUGAGAGAGCAAGCUCUAGAGACCGAUUUGAGAGCUCCAAGAGGAUCUCCUCCCUCUCCUCUCCAUUCCCAUGGUUGGUUCUAUAUUUGGUGAGAGGAGUUGAGAAAACCCUAGUGUUCAUGCAUUUGUGAUUCAUAUUUGUGGCACUAGGUUGUGAUUGUAAUCGUUGAUUUCUUAUUACUCUUGGUGAUUGCCAUCACCUAGACGGUUGUGGAUUUGUUGAUUGGUGAGGGGAUUUGGUGAUUGUGUCUGCCCCCAAUCAAGGAUUUAUCUGUGAGGGGUUCUUGGGCUUAUUCCCCGGUGGAGUGUCAAAAGCCACUCUAGUGGAUUGCUCGUGUCAUUGAGCUACCUCACUUGUGGGUAGGUUCUUGCGGUGCCCAUUUGUUGGGCUAGGUUUGUGAAACACCUAUUAGCCGCCGAACCACCAAGUGUUAGUCGACACAACGGGGACUAGCAUGCCAGCAAGCAUGUGAACCUCGGGAGAAAAAUAUUGGUGUCAAUAUUGUGAUUGGUAUUCUCUCGUUUGCUACACAUUGUGAUUGGUUCAUCCUCUACACAUCAGUAUAAUUAUCACUCAUCUCUUUACUUACUUACAAACUAGUUGUAACUAGUAGUACCUAGUUUUAGCUAGUUGUAACUAGUUGUAGAGAGUAGUGACAUAGCCAUUGCUUGUGCCUAGUGAUCAUAGCAACUAGAAUUAUUAGAUAGGUGACUUGCAACUCUGUAGAGCUAGAGCAAAAUUGCUUUACGCCGUUCGUUAUAUUAAUCCUUUGCUCUAGUGAUUUGUAGAUCUUUUAAAUAGGCUAUUCACCCCCCUCUAGCCAUAUUAGGACCUUUCAAGUGGUAUCAGAGCCGUGGUCACCGUUUAAUCAAGGCUUAACAACCUUCGGUGUCAAAAGAUGGCUCAAAUUAUGUUCAACCAUGUGGGGGCAAACCACCAUUCUUUGAUGGUACAUGCUAUGAUUAUUGGAAGAGAAAAAUGAAAAUAUAUUUGGGUUCAAUCAAUGAUCAGGUGUGGGAUGUGACCGAGAGUGAUUUUGUGAUUCUUGAUCCCACCAAUCUCACCAACCAAGGUAAAGCAAACAAGCAAUGCAACACUAUAGCUCUCAACACUAUAUAUAAUGCAAUUGAUUCAAAGGUGUUUGAGCAAAUCAAGGAUUGUGGUAGAGCAAGUGAAGUGUGGAAGUGUCAGACACAUAUUUUAAGAACAAAAUAGGAUGCAUAAAAGACUCAUAUGUGCCCCAGGAAUAGUCGCACACAUAAGUAGACAAAUCUCAAAUGUACCAUUGCAGUGUUUAUUACAUAGCGGAAUAUAAAAUAUCACAUAGUCUCAUACAAAGAUGAUAACAUAAAGUAAACAACGCUCUCGACGGAAGCUCCACACGGACACUGUUGACUGGUUGACUCCAAACCUAAUACUCAUAGCGAUAGUCCUCAUUCCAAUCAUCAUCAUUAGCAUAACCUGGGGUAUUAGAAAAUUGCAAGAGUGAGCACAUAUCGUACUCAACAAGUAUAAUCAGGGGUUCAUGAGGCUCAAAUAGCUGACACUGGUUUGACUGCAUUUAGCUUUUAAUAGUGGAUAGCAUAUUCAUAAUUAAAUAGCAAAUGUCAAGGUAUCAUAAAUAAUCCAUUAAUCUCAUGAUCAAGUGUAAGCAUAAUUAAUCUCAUAGCAUAAACGAUAAUCAAAUGGACAUAACAACUUAAUAAGCUCAUCGUCGGCGCAGCAAGAACCCCCAAGAUCGCUCAUAACCGUGAGCACGGCUAGUAUACUAGUUUUAACACUCUGCAGAGGUUGCACAUUUUUACCCAUGAGUCAUGAUUUACCCUUUCGCCCGAAGUAGCUAAUCUCUUAACCCCCUUCCCAGGGAGGUCGGCAGGGAUCACUAUGAAGCCUUUCAAAAGUUCGUCUAACAUGUUAGGGCUGCAAGGUUUCCUUUGCGCGCAGAUAUAGAUACCCCCCCUUCCAAAUGGCACAAUGACGCGCAGCCUAUACACAUAAGGACAGGGGCUCGCACUAUACCCAAAACGGUUCAGCCCCUCCGCCCUUUCGGGUAAUCUCUAACAAGAUAGAAAAGGUCUUCAUACUGAGCUAAAGCCAGAGCCAUUAUAGCCCUCAUGGUUGCACUGUUGUCCCGGUGAUCACUUACAGACAAGAUCUCAUAUAGUUAUUUGUCAUCGUUUAACGUUCAUUGCAUAGCUAUUAAUAAUCUUAUAAGAUCAUGGAUUAUAUCAAGCACUAGCACAUCUACACCAAAUGCAUAUCAAGUAGGUAACAAGGAAUCCAGGUAAUAAUCAUCUAUGAUUUUGCUAAGGUCGACAAGGUGAUAGCAUGCAUAUGAUAUAUAUGUAUAGUUAUAAGUGAAUAGGUAACAAGGAUGAUCCCAAGUUAUACUUGCCUUGAAUAAAGCUCUCCUGAGCUUGCUGGUCUUCAAAGGCUUGGUCUUGAUCAUCAACGCACGGCUCACCUUCUAUUCCCAAACAUCAAUCAACAACACGCAUUCCAAUGUAGACAAUCAUACACGAAGCAAACAAGCUAUAAUUAGAAUAAUACACCAAACAGUGGUAAAACAAGUGUAAAAGUUUAUCAAAAUGUUCUACGCAACAGUACGAUCACACAAACGUAAAGUUCACGAAAAUCGGAAUUAAAACGUAGAAGAUAUGAAUUUUCCAAGAUUUCCUAUAGAGAAAUAAUUAAUUAAAUGCUACUGCAGAAUUAAAAAGUUUCAAAACAGUAAACUAAUACUUCUAACAUGUAGAGCUCGUGAAUACGAAUCUAACGAAAUUUGAAUGGACAAAAACGGAGUUAAAAUGAGCAUUUUAUAAGCAAAACAAAAUCAGUGGCAAAACUGUAAUUUCUGAAAAACGCAUUUGAACUCAGCCGGGAAUACGCUUUCUAACUUGGAAAAUGGAAACUUGCACAGGACGCCAAGGACCGCGGAGCAAUUUACGAAAACUUCCAAUGACUCUUUAUAAAGAAGUACAGCGAAAGGGUAUGUUUUAAUCCAGGGCGUUGAUCUUGAUCUGGACGGCUCGGGCGCGUUUGGGGAUGUGACGGGCGGCGGCCGGCCGCCGGAGAAAGCUCCAGCGCGGUGGUGGGCCAUGGGCGCCGCCGCGGAGCUCUUCGGCCUCGCCAACUUCUUGUUUCCGAGCACCAAAACAUAAACUGAGACCAUGGGCGCGCAGAGGAACAAAAGGCGAGCUCACCAGGGCACUUUGCUCGGGCCGGAAGGUAGCACGGGACUCACGCCGCGAUGGGGAACGGAGCCGGUCUCGGGAAGAUCUCUUUUAUGGCGGCUAGGGCACGUCUUCGCGAUUUAGAUGCAAAAACACGACGCGGGGCAUCACGGGGUGCUUUAUAGGGGCUCGGUUCGCGAAAAGGGCAAGAAAUCGCGCGCGGCGUUCUUGGGAUUGGAUUCGGCCGUGUCCAGCUUGCUCACGGCGAGAGGAAGGAGGAGAAGGCGUCCGCUGACGUGCGGGGCCCAAGCGUCAGAGAGAGAAAGGGAAAAGGGGUGCGCUGCUGGGCCGAGAAGAAGUGGGCCGGGCCGCGGGGGAGAAAAAGGGAAGGGGAAAGGGGUGUUGGGCUGCGGGGUGUCGGGCUGGAGCCUUUUCUCUUUUUUUUUCUUUUCUGUUUUCUUUUCCAAAAAAAACCUUUUCCAAAUAAAAUUUUGAAUGCAAAUAAAUUCAAGCCAGAGGCAAACAAUACAAAAUAAAAUAUUCUUCAGCAUGAAUGCAUAAACAAGUUUCUAACCUUAUGAUAAAUUUUAAUUUUGACAAAAAAAUAUUUCUUUACUAGAUUAAAUGCUCACCAAAAAUGCUUAAUUAAAUCAAAUAAAUUCCUAUUAUUUGAAAUCUAAAUUUUUGGGUGUUACAGGAAGAGAUUGGAGGAAACAUAUGAGGGCACACCGGCGGCCAAGAGUGUAAAAUUGCAUAUUGUCAAAGAUAAAUUGACAAGUUUCAAGAUGAAGGAUGAUGAGAGCAUUCCGGAGAUGUUUCAUAGAUUGCAAGUAAUUGUGAAUGAUUUAAAGGCCUUGGGUGAGAAGAUAAGUGAUGAUGAUGUAUCCCAUCAGUUCUUGAUGUGCUUACCUCCAAGAUUUGAGACACUAAGAUUAAUCAUUAUAAGAGGAGGAUUGAAAGAACUUACCCCUAACCAAGUACUAGGUGAUGUCAUGACACAAGAGACAUACCGUGUGGAAAGGGAAGGGGUUGACCAAGAUGAGAAGAAGGAUGAAGACAAGAAAAAGAAAAGUGUGGCAUUCAAGGCUAGUUCAUCUAAGAGCAAGGGCAAAGCAAAGAAAGAAGAAUCAAGUGAAGAUGAGGAAGCUAGUGACAUUGAUGAUGAAGCACUAGCUCUCUUUGUGCACAAGUUUGGCAAAUUUAUGAAGAAGAAGGGCUAUGCUGCAAGAAAAAGAAGAGAUCAAAUAAGAUCAAAGAAUAUAUGAGAAGAUGCUACAAAUGCAAGAGCAAGGAUCACAUUGUAGCGGAUUGUCCCUACAAUAGUGACAAUGAUGAGGAUGAAAAUAAAGUAAAGAAGGAGAAGAAAAUGACAUUCCAAAAGAAGAAGAAGGGUAGCAGCUAUGUGUUGACUUGGGAUAGUGAUGCUUCUUCGGACAAUGAUGAUUCUAGUGAUGAUGAUGAUAAGAAAUCCAAGAAGAAGGCACUUGCAAGCAUCGCCAUCAACAACAAGACUUCUCUCUUCAACACUCCUUCGACAUGCCUCAUGGCUAAACCCACUAAGGUACAAUAUGAUGAAAGUAAUGAUGAUUGUGAAAGUGAUGAUUGUAGGAGUGAUGAUGAUGAUGAUGAUGAUAAGUCAAAGGAGGAACACAUGGACAUGUUGGAGAAUGCCCACACAUGUCUUGAGAUGAAGAGAAAGGAGUGCAAAGAGUUGCGGAAAGAGCUUAAAGCUCUCAAGCAAUCCUUUGAUGAGCUCCAAGCGUCUCGUGAGAGUCUAAAGGAAGACCAUGAGGAGCUUGGCAAUGCUCACUCUAAGCUUGAAAAGGCUCACUCCUCUCUCCUCGAGCAAGCUAAGAAAGAGGAAGUUAUUGUGACUUGUGACAAGGGCUCUACAUGUGAUUUAAUUAAUGAAUCUUUUAUUGAGCCUAUUAUUAUUGCUUCCACUAACUCUUCUUGUAGCACUUCCACUUCUACCUCAUCUACUAGUGAUGGUUUCACUUGUGAUGCCACAUUAAUAAAUGAUAAUGAGACCCUCAAGAAGGAGGACAAUGAGCUCGCUUGUGCCCUAGGCAAUGCCUACGGUGGUGAGGCCCGCUUGCUAAAGUGCUUGGGUAGCCAAAGAUUUUCUCUCAACAAAGAGGGAUUAGGCUAUACCCCCAAGAAAGGCAAGGCGGCCUUUGCUACUCAUAAAGCUAGCUUUGUGAAGGGCAAUGGUCGGUUUUGCACUAGAUGCAAGCAAGUUGGGCACAUAGAGCAAUAUUGCAAGAACAAAAACAAACCAAACAAUGUAUCCUCAAUUAAAUUUGAUCCUUGUUAUAUGCUUACCAAAGGUGUUAAUGGGGUGCAAGCUAAGUUCACUGGUGCACCAAUUGUGGGCUCAAAGAAGAAAGCUAUUUGGGUACCAAAGAGUUUAGUCACUAACCUUCAAGGACCCAAUAAAGUUUGGGUACCUAAAAAGAAUUAAUUUUCUCUUGUAGGUGAAUUAUAAAGCCGGAGGAAGGCAUUGGGUUCUUGAUAGUGGGUACACUCAACACAUGACCGGUGAUUCAAGAAUGUUCAAUUCGAUCAACACAAAUAAUAAUGAUGGAAUUCAUAGUAUAACAUUUGGUGAUAAUGGCAAAGACAAGGUCAAAGGGCUUGGUAAGAUUGCAAUAUCUAAUGAUUUGAGUAUUUCCAAUGUGCUACUAGUAGAAAGCUUAAACUUCAACCUAUUGUCAGUAGCUCAACUUUGUGAUCUUGGUUUCAAGUGCAUAUUUGGUGUGGAUGAUGUAGAGAUCAUUAGUGUAGAUGGCUCUAACUUAAUAUUCAAAGGAUUUAGAUAUGAGAAUCUAUACUUGGUUGAUUUCAAUGCUAGUGAAACUCAUUUAUCAACAUGUUUGCUUACUAAAUCUAGCAUGGGUUGGUUAUGGUAUAGAAGGCUUGGUCAUGUUGGAAUGAAACAAUUGAACAACUUGAUAAAGCAUGAUCUAGUUAGAGGCUUGAAAUAUGUUGUUGAUAUUUGGUAACGCAAUCAGGAAAUGAUCCACAAGCGCACGGAUAUCGGUGAGCAUUUCACCCGGGAGGUUUUCCAGAGUAUCGUAUUUAUAUUUUUACCACUGGGAGAAAGGUUGCAUCUGACUAACCAAAUCUAUUGCUACUAUCCCUUUAGGCUACAAACAAUGUUUCUCGAUGUGAGUGAUGUAUAGAGAAGACUGCAACCGUAGUCUCAUUCUAACCUUGGUAAGGAUGAUCUACUGUUCUAUUGGGGAAGCUUACGGAAUCUAGACACCACAAAGGAUGUUCGACCCGCUCAUAUAAACCCUACCCGUCCUGCUAACAAGAUAUGAGAUACAAAGGUAACUCGGAAAUGUCACGUUCCUCGUUACUACCACGGUCCAGCUAGUCUGGGGAUAUCUAUGAGUACCCUAGCCUAAACACCACGUUUACGCUAGCAAUGAUUACUCUAAUACUCAACCGGAAGAGGAUUAAAGUAAACUCAUAAACCAAAGAACAAUAAAACAAGAACUUACAAGAAUUAGAAGUCGAAUUACUGAAGAAUCUUAGAAGCAAGCCUCGGGUUAGGAGACUUGAUCCCGCAGGUACAACUCGGAGUAGACACCGACAGGCCGGCCUUCCUCUGAUCUACACCUCCACUCUAUCUCUCUCAAUCUAGUAGAAACUAGAAGAUCUAUUUCUACUUACAUUGGUUGCUAAGCCUAAAAAGAAAUAUUAUUUAGAGAAGAGGUUUUCCUUCGAGGGCACCCCUCAACUCUAUGAUAACUUCUUGUCUCCUCCAGGGGCCAGGGGGUCUCCUUAUAUAGUCCUCCUCCUCUAUGCGUUUUUGGGUCGGUAGGCGAUGUGGUACUACGUUAUCCUUGAUCCUUUAGGUCGGUGGAACGUCGUGUGCGAAAAGAGUCCCAAACGGAGUCCAGGUCAGGGCGGGCGCCCAGGGAAGGAGGGCGGGCGCCCUGGGCCUGGCCCCUUUCGGCCUCUGCUUUCUUCCCGUGGCUUCUGGAGUCUUCUAGAUGGUAGAAAAUUGUGCGGUGCGUUGAUAUCUCUAUGUAAUCCUGACAUGUGGGCCUUUCUUCCGUAUUUCCUGAUAACUCCCUGCAGAAAUAGACAAACACCAAAACUUGUGGAAUUCUAUCAGAUAAAACCCUAAGUCUGGGUGUUGGUUGCAUUUGGAUACUUUUCUUUAUUUAUUUGAUGAUUAUAUUUGGUACUUAAGGACCGUCAACAACUCCCCCAAGCUUACCUCUUGCUCGUCCCUGAGCAAGGAUGAACUCAAGAGUUUCUGCAGUGGUUUCAUGCCUUAAAAGUACACACGCAUUCAAGCAAGAUCUCAUCUCUGAGUUAGAGUAAACUGUUAAGACUUAAAACUUACUCAUUUUACCUUUCACCAUGGGGCUUGCAACCAUCACUUGUGUCUUGAGCAGUUAAAAGAUAGAACGGUCAAGUCAAGCGCCAUGUCUCUUAUUCUUGAUCAGCUAUAGCUCUGGAGUUCUUGCAGAUUUUCAAAUAAAACUCAGAGAUUCCUUAUAUGACUCUCUCAGAUCUCUCUUUUGUGGUAUUUCUGGUAUAAUGCAUAGUGAUAUUGCCUUCUCUCUCACCCUACUCUAAUAAGGUUUUGAUAUCUGGAGCUCAUAGGUGGGAGACAGCUAAUACAUACUUACAAGACAUUUAUUGCAUAGUCAAACCAUGGAUCCAGAGAAACAAGUCAAUAAGUCAAAUCAAGAUGUGCAUGUGUGGCGAAUGAAUGGUGUAUGGUGAUGAUGGUGAUAAUAAUGGUGAAAGUGUAAUUCUACUUUUGCUCUUUUGAGGGGAUACAUACCUUUCUUGCACUUUAAAGCUUUUUGGGGAGAAUGAUAUGCUCUAUAUUUUCUUUUUCUUUCCUCUCAGGUGGGUAUCUUGUACCCCUAAUUCUACUGUCGGACACUUGUCCAUUUUUACCUCUCGUCUCACUUUUUCUUUUCUUCAAGGUUCCGGGCACUUGCCCCUUUUUAUUUCCUCGUAUUUUUUUUUCUUUUUUUAGAGCACUCAUCUCCUGAAAUAAUAUAGCAAGUGGUAGUAACCAAGAUAACUCGAGCAUUUAUUUAAUAGGGAAAAACAGAAAUAGGAGAAUGUUUUUGGCUAUUCUCUCCUGGAUAGGAGUAGAAUAAUUUUAGGUGAAUCUGGAGAUGGAAAUGAGUGGAUGUAUGUGGAUGCGUACUUCCAGAGUAGAAGCAGCAUAUACGAGUGAACAUGCAAGUGAAUCUUGAUUUUAACCACAUGACAAGCUCCUAAGGGUCUACACAGCUUGACCACACUCAAUGCUCAUAAGCAGUAAAAAGUAAAUGUGUGGCUCAAAGUCUAAUAAGCAUGUAUAUAUGGCUGUGGUAGGAUUUUAAACUCUCAUCAUACAGGAACUCAUCAUGUGAUAUUUUAAAGAUUUUUCAAAGAUAAAAUUCUCCAGAAUUCUAGCAUCUCUAGGAACAGAUAAACAGCAGCUCAACCUUCCCAUAUCAUAUCCGUUAACAACUUAGACUUUAGAUCAAGUACUCUUCCCACAAGUUCAGGUUUAGAGCAAAUCUUACUUCAUAACAGUUAUGUCUAAACUUGAGAGAGAUUUCAAUUUUAAGAACUAGUCAUGGCAGAGCAAUUAUUCAUCAUUUCCAUGUGAGAGUUUGUCAUGAGGGUUCAUAGCAAACUUUAUUUAUUUAUUUAUUUAGCAAACUAAGCAAAGAUAUAUAUAUAUAAAAGCACAAAAUCUUUAUUUGGGUUUUCAUGAUUAUGCAUCUUUUUAUUAUUUGAGUAAAGUAUAAACGCAAGUAGAAACACUUAGCUGGAUAAAUGGGGGUGCUCUCCCCCAAGCUGGAUUUUGACGUAAUUUCUUCUGAUGUAGCUAGCAGGUGAUGGAGGUAUAUUUGAAUGUCGGCAGCACCUUGACAGCGAUUAGGAUGUCCUCUGACUGCUAGUCUUCUUUGAUCCUUGAAUUCUGUGAAGCUCAAAUAGACAACAAAGCUUUGUGGAACUGGUUAAGUGUUAGCAUAAAUAUCUAGCCUUUAUCAUGUUGAGCCUCCUCAAUAAAUGUUAUACUCUUUGGUAGGAUUAUAAAUUUAUUUUUAUAUUUUCAUUUUUAUAAGAUAGGAAUAUAUUUAUUUUAUUUUUAUGCCACCACAGUGAAUGUACUUAUGGGUUUUAUGCCAUGAGCAUACUCACAUGGGGCUUACUAUUUUUAACAUUUUUAUUUUCUUUUCGAGAUGAUAUGAACCUGAUUAACUAAGCAAACUAUUUUAAAUAGUUGAAAGGAAAAAGGAUAACUACCAAGUUUACCUCUUGGCAAGGCGUUUGGUGCUUUUAAGUCCUCCGAACGGGACUCUCCGUUUUCUCACUCGUCCUGGGAUUCGCUGGAUGACGUAGUCGGUGGUUCCGGCGGCGCCUCUUCUUCAUGUGUAACUAUCUUCUCUCUCCACACCUGACUCGGUGCUACGGUCUCCUCAGGACAGUUCUGUUCAAGCUGUAUGUCUUCAGUCCUUAUCACUUCUCCUUCGUAGUCUACCCAUCCGUUCUUGAUGAUUUGCCUCCUCUGGUUUUAGUUGCGUCGCCUUCUUCUUGCCCUGACCUGCUUAGAGUCUUCAACUAUAUAGUUAUGGUUAGUAAAAUAGCUGCGUACCUUCUCAGAGGGGAAGUACAUGUGGACUUCUCCGGUUCCAAUGUAGAUGAUUGCUUUGAUAGUGUUGAGGAACAGUCUUCCAAGGAUGGUGGGUGGAUCGUACUCGUCUUCUCCAUGUCAAUGACCUAAAAAUCAUCUGGAGCUGAAUGUAUAUUGGUUGUAGGGACAUGGUUCCAUGCAGGAGUUGAUAAGUGACUGCGGCCAUUAUGUUGUCGUCAGAUCAGGUGUCAUAGAGUGUCUUCUAAAAAAAGUAUCUGUUGAUUGUGCACUCAAUGCUUGGAACACCAAGGUCGUCCUUCUUGAUCAAGAAAGGUGACUUGAGUCGACGAUCUUGACCUCCUCCGACAAGGAUCCAAUGUUUUAAGUCUUCUGGACAAGACUUCUCACCGUCUUCAUCCUUUAGGUGCAUCAUUUGAUUAGGUGUGGACCUAGACGUCUGCACUUCUUGAUACAGUGUCACCGAUGUUCUUCGUUUGUCUAGCAGUUCGAGGUGCGGCAUUGGCAGCAUCCUGCUCAGUGUGUUUGUGCUCAUAGAUCCAAAGUCCUUCACUUGGUGGAGUGUGAGAGUUGUAAAUCUCCUCCAUGUUUUGUUUGAAGUGUACCUAUUCAUAGAGACAAGGCAGAGAUCAAGUGCAUGGGCCCUGUUGGUGGAAAACACCAACAGAACCAAAAGUGUAUUUGUUCUUCUCUAACCUUAAACAUAGUGAGCAAGACAAAGUUGAU
rnacentral:lncRNA from 1 species